UUGAACAAGCCAUUCCCCUGAUCCCUUCCUUCUACUGUUCUACACUCUUCCAAAACACAAACUCUCUUCCUUCCUAAAACAACAACCUUUGAUCUCCGAACCACAACAACCUCUGAUCUCCGAACCACAACAACCUUUGAUCUCCGAACCACAACAACCUCAAACCCUUCAACAAUGAUGCUCAGAAUCCGAAGCCGCGACGGUCUCGAACGAAUCACAAUCGACAACCCAAACAUCACUAUCUCCCAACUCCAAACCAUAAUCCAAACCCAACUCCAUAUCCCAAUCCAAAACCAAACCCUCUCCACGAACCAAAACCUCCUCCUAUCCAAAACCCACAACGAUCUCAACCGUUUCACCGACAUGUCAAACCCCAACACUCCUCUUUCCACUCUCAACCUCACCCACGGCUCCAUCAUCUUCCUAAUUUACGACGGCGAAAGGCGAGUUAUCGGUCCCGCCACGGCUUUUAGUCCCGCCGGCUCUUUCGGCCGAAAGAUGACUAUGGAUGACCUUAUUGCUAAACAGAUGCGGGUCUCCCGACAGGAGGCCCCGCAUUGUGAGUCCGUCUCUUUUGACCGCGAUUGCGCUGAUGCGUUCCAGCGUUAUGUUAAUGAGACGCUCGCGUUCGCGGUCAAAAGAGGCGGGUUUAUGUAUGGGAGGGUUAGUGAGGAUGGGAGGGUAGAGGUUGAUUUUAUAUAUGAGCCGCCACAGCAGGGUUUGGAGGAGAAUUUGGUAAUUUUCCGGGAUCAUGAGGAGGAGAAGGUUGUGGAGGCGAUUGCUUUAGGGUUAGGGAUGAGGAAGGUUGGGUUUAUUUUUACUCAGACUGUUAGUCAGGAUAAGAAGGAUUUUACGAUGUCGAAUCGGGAGGUUAUUCAGGCGGUUGAGUUUCAUGCUGAGAGUGGGUUGAAAGAGUGGGUUACUGCUGUGGUGAAAUUGGAGGUGAAUGAGGAGAUGGGUGGUGCUGCUGAUGUGCAUUUUGAGGCUUUUCAAAUGAGUGAUGUUUGUGUGAAGUUGUUUAAGGAAGGGUGGUUCGAGACCGAGAUUAAGGAGGAGGAUGAUCCUAAGUUGUCUAAGAUGAAGAAAGAUGUUGUUGUUGGUGUUAAGGAUACUAAGGAGGUUGAUAAUGAUUUCUUCUUGGUUGUUGUCAAAAUCCUUGAUCAUCAGGUUUGUUAUGUUCUUAUGCAUGUAAUGAUGUUAUGUUGUGUGCUACGGUUUAUUGUUUGUUUGUUGUUAUUUUUUAUGCCAUGUGAAUGUGAUUCUCAUUCUCUAUUAUUGUGUUCUACCAAAUUAUAAAGUCAACCAAAUCAAUUCGCACCGAGAAAAAACCCAACAAAUUAAAACCAAGCAGAAAUAGAAACACAGCCGAAACAAUAACAUAUUGUGUUCGGCUGAACCAUAUUCAUUAGUUUCCUGCAAGCUGCAAUUAAUUCAGAAACUUUCCUGAAUGUUUGUCGUAUGUAAUGGGUGCAAUAGUUUUAUGCAUUUCAGCUCUGCUGCUUAUUUUCCCACUCAGCAUUUAUGCAUUAGUUUCGUCCUAUGGUACUUGUUUUGUUUGCUAUGAUAUUUUUUUCUUUAUUAAAAAAACACUUAUAGUUGUUCUUUUAUUGUUAAAUUUGUUGUUGCAAGCCUGCAAUGUAUUAUUUUGUUAUUGGUUUUGUUUUCCAGGAUAUUGAAACUAUCAUUAAUAUCUUUUGAAUUAUUCCUAUUGGUUAUUGUAAAUUUGUGAUGACUCUAAUGAGUGGAGUCGAGUCUGAUUUGCUAGCGGGUGUGUUGUCCUGGGCCUGCCGCUCUAUUUUUUAGUAGCCUGAGUUACAGGAAGCUUACUGUCUUCGACCGGAGUUAGCCGAAUUUGUUGACCAUGAUUGCUGAGAUAUUGAACAUUCUUUAGCACUGAUGAUAUAUUAUCUAAAGCUCCUUCACCUUGCUGUGUCAUGCAAGCCUGAGCUACAGAUUUUGUAAAAUAUAAUUAUCAUGGCACUUAUGAAUGCAUUGUUACCAAAUUGCAGGGUCCUCUGUCAUCUACAUUUCCCAUUGAGAACCGGAAUACUCAAGUGACUAUGAGGGCACUGAAGAAUCAUCUUGAUCGGACAAAAAGUCUUCCAUUUGUGAAGCGAAUUUCUGAUUUUCAUUUGCUACUCGUAUUAGCUAGGUUUUUAGACCUGGCUGCCGACGUUCCUGCAUUGACAGAAUGCGUGCAGACACAGACCGCUAUACCCGAAGGUUAUCAAAUCCUUAUCGAGUCCAUGGCCGAUGCCGCAUGAUGCAUUGAACCUAUUCAGGACAGCAACAAGAGAAUUAUGCACUCACUGUUAGGUCCUUCACUAAUAUGAGUCAUAUAUUGCUCCAUAGCACCAUCCAUAGAAUGGUUGUGUAUGCUGGUCCCUUGUACAUUUCUUAAUCUAGCAUCACUAUAGUAAUCUUGGAUCUAUCUUUUCUUUGUUACUGAAAAUGUGCUUAUUUUUAUUUUACAUGCUUAAGUGUUUAUUUAAAAUGGGGUAUAGCCCAUACUUAAAAGUACUCACUAUUUAAGUAGUUUAUGCUCCAAAUUAUGAUAUGAAGUCGAUGUUUUACAUGUGUGUUCAAGGCUACUGAAGAUAGCUUUUACAAGCAUACUUUGAUGCUAGUUUUUAUAUAGGUGAAUGUAAGAAUUGGCUAUACAAGUUCAUGAUUUGAACAACCUCAUACUUUUGUUGCUACUUGAGUGUUUGUGAGGCAUGCAACAACACUAUUGAGGCCUUGUUGAAGAAUUAAGUGCAGCAUGAUAAUUGGGGUUUGUAUAUGUAAUAUCUGUGUAUUGUCAGUGUAAAGAUUUAUAUACAAUCAAUAUAUCAUCCAUCGUUCAUUUGUGUUAUUUACUUUUUUGAAGAGUCAAUAAUAUGAGUAAAUAUGAAUGGUGGAUGAUGCAACGACAAUGUAUAAAACUCGGUUAGUAUACUUUUUUGUCCUCUUAGUCAAGAUUUUAGAAAGAUGGUUCACUUAAAUAUAUAUAUGCAUCAAUUGUCCUAACCAACACAUAGAAAAUUGGGCCAAGAACUAGUAAAUAAGGUGGUAAGCUAAAAGCUAAUCUCAAAGUAGGUAAAAGUAAUUUGCAUAUGAUAAAUUCAUCAAGAAUAAAGGGAGAUGGUAUAAAUCUAAAUUUGUAACAAACACACAAAUUCAAGAUUUUUUUGUGACUAACUAAUUUUUAUUCUGUGGUGUCACUUUAUAUAUCAUUUGAAAAUAAUUUAUUAUUAAAUUUUAAAUAUAUGUUUUCUGACUAAUAAGAAAAAAAAGUAAUAUUCAUACAGUGACAAUAUAAACAUUUAUAUAUAAUUAGUGUAUUAUCCUCUCUUUAUUUAUGUUACUUAUUUUAAAAAAUCAAUAUUAAAUAAAAAUAAAUGGUGAAUAAUAUAGUAAUAAAAAAAUUUACACUAUUGGUGUGUAAAUCUUUUUCUCUAAGAAAAAUGCUAUGAAGUAGUAUCUUAUGAUAUAGCAGAUUUUGACAAUUUUUCUUAUGUUUUAUUAGCCCGCUAAAUACACAAUUACACAUGUACAUUACAUUCAGGAAGAAACAUGGUUGAGAAUAGUAGAGACUAAUAUCAACAAAAGUGUAAUAUGUAUGUAUUAGUAGUGUAAAAAUUUAUACAUAUUUAAUAUACUAUAUAUUAUUUAUUUGUAUUAGUUUUAUUUAGAAGUUAAUAUAAUAAAAAGUGAAUAUUAAUAAUGAAUGAUAUAAUUUUCUCGUAACAAUAACCUACACACGUGGCGUUUAUAGAUUUAACAUAAGAGACAUCUAAAAUAACAUAUGUUUAGUAUUCACAAUAAAACCCUUCGUACGCUUAGUGUCUUCUUAAUAAGACCCUUCGUACGCUUUGUGUGUCUUCUUGAUAAAACCCAUGAACAAUGCCUACCUUAACUAGUUCAAGACAACAAAUUUAAAACUUUUUUAAAAGUUAAAUUAUCCAUCAACUUCUUGUUGGUCCGUAAACUCGAAUUAAUCAGAAAAAUAUUUAAUUAUAGAUCGUGAUGAUAUUCAUCGGAGCGGGAGAAUUCUUACUUAUGAUUUGCUUAUUUUGGAGUCAUAAAAGUGAAAACUUUUCUACUUGUCAUUUCUACUUGUCAUUUCUACUUGUCAUUUCAUCAAUUAUUACUUCAUUCUGUUCCUGAAACUUUCUUAGGUUAUGGAAGAAGAUUCACUUCCUCCACCGUCUCAAGUUUCAACUCGCCGCUCCGUGAGUUUUCACACUAACAACAUUUUUUAUUUUUAUUUUUUACUUAUUUUUUUUUAAUAAUUCGACCUAAUUUCCAUUUUCUGCUUUCAAAACUAAGCAGAAGAGAGGAAGACCUCCAAAACCAAAGCCAAACGACACCGUUUCUGAGCAUCGAGAGAAUUCACUUGAUGCACCAAAACGACCUAAAUCAAAACGAAGUCGUUUUCAGCAAGGAACUUCAAGUGUUGCACAACAAGCCUCUGAUCUAACAUUGAUUGGUUUAAAUUCAACACUCUACACUCUCCUUAUUGCUUAAUUAUGGUUUAGGACACUGUAACUGAAAAUUAAUUAACUUUAUGUGUAGCUCUUACUCUGUUGUUUUACACAUUACUUAUUUUCAUCAUGGUAGUUAGUAUAUUGAUUCAUGAAUGAAUCGCGCAUAAGUUGCGCAUGUUUUUUCGUGAAAAAAUGUAAUAAUAAAUGGUAGUUAAACCUAGUGGUAUUCUAUUUCCUUUUGAGUAUGUCUGGAUGGAGGGUAUUCGGGGAAAGAAAAUAUGGGAUUGAUCUUGCCGAGUUUAUUUGGCGUUGUGAGAGUUCAAUGUGGUUAUGCUCCUUUUUCGCGUAGUGGCUCUAUUGGGGAUAUGGUUGCGAAAGAUACUCCAGGACUCGAGUCAGAGUGAGUAACAAGAGAGGAGGGUAGGUAGUCAAUCAUGGAUAGCGGUUGAGAAAUUCUGAUGAACAGAGUGAGGGGAAGAAGUGAGGAGAUGUGGGUGUGCUAGAAAGCGGAGAACAUGCCCAGAAAUCACCACCAGUAAUCGCAGAAGGCAGAGCUUGUUUCGGUUCAGUGUAAGGGAACAAACUUUUAAUGGGACAUGGGGUUUAGUGUUUUAAGGAUGAGGGAGAGAAGGGGCGGGUGAAAUUACCAAAUACGCAAAAGAAACUCUUGUCGUGUAUUAAAAACAAGGAAAAACAUGAUUUUCUAAUUUAAAAAUAAGGGCAAAAUUGACUUCCGCCCUUUUAAAAUGAGUCCCCUUCCCUUUAAAAAUUACGGCUCUAUUUUCAGAAGGUGGACCGAAUGGUACACCCGCGACAGGGUUGCGAUUUUCGCUACUAAUAGGACGUGUCAGCCAUGCGCUGCACAAUUUGCUGUCCCAUCGCAUGGAGGAGUCGGGAACCACCUCUCCUCCGCUAGCCCAUCACAAUUGCGCACAAUUCACUACUUAGAGAGGUGGUUGGCCGUGAAAGAUGAUUUACCUAGGCCGUGGACUGGGAUAUUUAUGGCAGGUAGAGAGAAUAGAGUUCUACUUGUUGGAUAAGGAGUGAGUGUUUAGUAUGGUGUGCCUGUUUGUUAUCUCUUUGGUCGGGUGAGAACCUCAGCCAUAGUGUCGCGAACAUUAUCAGGGCCAUAUUGGAAUCCUGGUUGGGCUCUUCUGUGUCGUACUGGGCCAAGAUGACCGUGGUUGGGCCAGAAUUGGAAUAUUUAUAUUUGUUUCUCACUUGAGUUAAUUAUAAAAUGUUUAUAAGUAAAUAAAAGUAGCCUUCUAAGGUUAUACAUUACUUUUUUAUUUUAUUCCUUCAUUUUGCGAACACCUCAAAUAUAGUGUUUAUGACUAUGCUUACUCAAUAAGGAAUAAACCCUCCCUUUCAUUUCCCUUGAAAACCCCAAUGUCCAAACAUACCUCUAUAGCAUGACUACUUAUUCAAAUAUGGAGGAAAUUGGGAUAAAUGGUUGCAAUACUGGAACGAUUUCUCUUCUGUUAAUAGGUACUGUAACUGGUAUUCCUGUUAUCGGUAUAAUUGGUUUUUUCUUUUAUGGUUGAUCUUUCAGAUUGGGCUCAUCCCCGUAGUAAACAGAUGAAUUGAUUCUUCAAAAUGUAAGCUUAAGAGCUCAGCAUGGAUCCACUCGUUCUGUGACGUAUUUGAGGGGGUCCCAUUGAGCCCCUAAUGAUCACAAUUUUCUUUAUUUGUAUAAAUUGCUUACCAUAGAUCACUUUUUCCAAUGUUUCAAAAUACACCAUUUCAUUAUUUUUGAUAGAGGACUAUAUUUUUUUAUUAGGUUUGUAGAUUUUUGUUAGUAAUGAUGCAACUUUUCUUGUAUGAUUUUCUUUAGAGGCGAUCAAAGGUAAUGGCAAGCUUAUUCCUCAUGUCGUCAAACUUUGGGUUGAACGCUAUGAAAUGGAGCCAAAACCUGCGAUGGAUGAACUCUUGACAAUGUUAUUUCAGGUAAUAUGAAAUUCUUAAGCAGUUAUGGAUUUAAAGGAGUUUAGAGUUGAGCGUUUUUAAUUUCAAGUAAAAACAAGGGCCUAUAGUAGAUCUUGUAAACACUAUGAAGCUUUAUUAUUUCUUCAAUGCUCAAGAUUUUUAAGGGGUAAAAAGUCCUUGUUGGUUUACGAACUCCAAUUGAAAGUGACAAAAUGAAGUUUUAAAUCGUGCAGGCAUGCGGAGCCAAGGAUUACAACAAAGCUGAUCUCGUGGACGAGAUUGAUGUUGAUGAUGUUGUUGUUGCUCUGGUCAACUGCGCUAUAAGUGUAUGCAUAUCAUUUCCCUUCGGGUUGUUUCCUAUUUGUCAUUCCCCCGCUAAAAAAUUGCUAAUUUCAUAGUAGCGAAAAUGCUAACGCCAAGACUUCACCCUCCUCUCUCUCUUUUAAAAAACAUAUGUAAUUAUCAAUUAAUGUUUCAUGUAGACAUUUAUCCUCUCUCUUUGACACUGUAGGGUGAAAUUGAAGACUAUCAUAAUUCCAAAAAGGAGUUUAAAAACUUCAAAGAGAAUCUUGAAUCAUUCUGGCAUAAUUUGGUUUGUGAAUGUCAGCAUGGCCCAUUGUUUGAUCAGGUUUUAUUUGACAAGUGCAUGGACUAUAUCACUGCACUAUCAUGGUUAGUAUAGCUACUUAAAGCUUUUGGUUUUGGCAAAAUGUAUAUACAAUGACAUGUGGUCCUGUACGCCUGUAGCACCCCUCCAAGAGUUUACCGUCAAGUUGCUUCCUUGAUGGGUCUUGAGCUUGUCACAUCAUACAUAACUAUUGCUAAUAUGCUUGGUGGACAAAGAGAGACUACACGUAGACAAUUGGAUGCUGAAAAAAAGAAAAGAAAUGAAAGACCUUUACUAGAGUCACUGAAUAAGAGGUUUUCUGAUACUCAUGAGAAAAUAACAUUGUUGGAGGAGAUGAUGCGCAAAAUAUUUACUGGGUAGGAGUUUGUUAAACCAGCCAAACUAUUUUUCUUAUAAGGGAAAGAAAUCAACGUCUUAUCAUCAAAAUUGUAAUUGUUGUGACUGCUUACUGACAUGUUUGUAUAAUUUAUUUUUGAAGGUUAUUUGUGCAUCGCUACAGAGACAUUGACCCAACUAUUAGAAAGUCAUGCAUUCAGUCACUUGGUUUAUGGGUUCUGUCAUACCCAUCACUUUUUCUGCAGGAUUUGUACUUGAAAUAUCUUGGAUGGGCACUGAAUGACAGAGUAAUGAUUAAGCUUUAAAUUUUUUAUCAGGCAAAUUUAAUUGUUCAUGUACUGUACAACUUGUUUCUGCUUUUUCAUUUUAUCUUUUUCCCCACCCUCCAAUCUGCAGAAUGCUGGUGUUAGAAAGACUUCAAUAAAGGCACUGGAAAAUCUUUACGAGGCAGAUGAUAAUGUACCAAGCCUUGGUUUAUUUACUGAAAGAUUUUCUCGGCGGAUGAUUGAGAUUACUGACGACAUUGACGUUUCUGUAGCUGUUUGUGCCGUAGGGCUUGUUAAACAACUACUAAGGUCUAAAUUUAAAAUCCUUUUCAAUGAUAUAUUACCUGUUACCUGGUGAAUUUUAUGCGGCAGAUUGUAAAUUGAGAAUUGGUAUCUUGGUUUGCUGCAGACAUCAACUUAUUCCUGAAGAUGACUUGGCUCCUUUGUAUGAUUUGUUGGCUGUUGAUCCUCCAGAAAUCAGGCAUGCCAUUGGAGCACUAGUUUAUGAUCACUUGAUUGCUCAAAAAUUUAAUAGCUCCCAAUCAGCAUCAAGAGGUAUCAAGUUUGUUCAUGAAUUUGUCACUGUAAAAUAGAUAACAUUAUUUUGAGUACUAAGACUGACAUGUGAAGACGGAAUUUCUUUGCGGGUGAAACAGACAAUUCUUCUGAAGUCCAUCUUAAGAGAAUGUUGCGUAUUCUGGAGGAGUUCCCGCAAAAUCCAAUUUUGAGUAUUUAUGUUAUUGAUGAUGUCUGGGACUACAUGAAAGCUAUAAAGGUAUGCUUACAUAACCUUUGUGAAUAACAGAGUUGCGGCUUCCCCUUUUGACCAAUGCAUCUUAUAGUUAACUGCCUGCUAAUGUAUCUAUGGAUUUACUGAGUAUUCCAUUCCAAUUCUAGGAUGUGCUUGGUAGGAGAAAAAUAUGAAGGAUGGAGAUAAAGGAGUGGAAAUUGCAUUGCAUUAAGAGACAUUGUCUGUUUAGAUACAUAAAUUAAGUCCACUCUUCAUCUUCGUUCAUCUUAUUUUUUACUUCUACCUACCAGGCAUGGCUAGUUAUCAGUUAGCUAGACCUUGACUCAGCAGGAAACCUCGCAUAUUUGAUUCAAAACCAUUGUUAUAAAUUUGUUUAGCAAGCAGCUAUCCUUUUUUUAAACAAUUUCAUUCCAAUUUUUUCAUCAAAAUAGUUGGGCUCAAACCCAUGACAUUUCCCUUUGCCUUAUUUUAGGGGGAUAUAGUGUCCUGAUGCCCAUAUUUACCUUUUGUUUUCUUUAAAAAAAUAUUAACUUUUAGUCUUCUUUUUUUCAAUCUUCAUUUUUGCCCCAUGAUUUUAAAAAGUUAUCCAAUCAUCUGGAUGUAGAAUGCAGACACAACAAUACUCUGUAGUUGUGAAGCAUUUGCUAGAAUCUAGAAAGUUACUUGUCCCUAGUCUAGCUUGUCUGACCAAUCUGGGCCUAGUUAAACAUAAUGGAGGAUUGGUCAUGAUUGUUGGUGGUGGGUAAACGUUUAACAAUCAGGGUGGCCUUUUAUGAGGAGCCCAUGUUACCUUUGUACUAUACCUAAUGAUAUUCUAUUUUCUAUAUAUGUUUUAUACAACAAUGGCUUUUAUACUAGAAUGUCUGUGGGAUAUAUUCUUUAAUGAGCCAAAGAAGCAGGUUGAUUAGAAAUCUGGGAUACUGUAUUUGGUCCCACUUCUCUGAGUUACUGCACAAUUGAAUCUGCAUGUUUAGCAUGGUUGCCUUCAGGAUAUUAUACCAAAGAACUACACCUAAAAUUGUUCAGUUUUAUUUGUGUUGUACUGAAAAAAUAAUACUCACAUAUUUAAUGGUUUCUUUAUGACAUUAAAUAUGUUCCUUACAGGAUUGGAAGUGCAUUGCAUCCAUGCUUCUUGAUGAAAACCCAUUGAUUGAGCUCUCUGACAGAGAUGUAUCAAACCUGGUGCGACUCUUGUGUGCAUCUGUGAAAAAGGCUGUUGGAGAAAGGAUCAUUCCUGUUACUGAUGACAGAAAACAAUAUCACAACAGAGCCCAAAAAGUUUGUCACCUUGGCUUUUAACUUAUUUGAUUCACUUUGUGAGCCUUUUUCCUCAGUAAUGAGUUUUUAUUUUUAAUUAUACUCGUCUUUGACAUGCGUUGCAUAUGAUGUUUCAGCAAUCAAUGCUUUUAAAUAGGUUGGAAACGAGCCGAAGCGAGUUAAACUAGAGCUCAGCUUGGUUCAGCUUGAUAAAGAUUUGAUCAGUUAGAAACUCGUCGAUUAAAGUUCGCAAACUCUCUUUGGCUCAGUUCGAAUUGAUUUAUUUGGAUAACUCAAAUAAUCAAUUCAUUUUAAAAAAUACUACAAAAGGUUAUAUAUAUAAAUAUAAAAAAAUAAUGUAUAGGUCAUGGCAUAAUAACAAUAAACAAAGUUAGUUUGUGUGUGUGUGUCUAUAUAUAUAUAUAUAUAUAUAUAUAUAUAUAUAUAUAUAUAUAUAUAUAUAUAUAUAUAUAUAUAUAUAUAUAUAUAUAUAUAUAUAUAUAUAUAUAUAUAUAUAUAUAUAUAUAUAUAUAUGGAGCGGCUCAUAUGAGAACAAUGCGCUAUUUUGAGAAAUGAGAAUAACUAAUAUGAACCAUUAGAUCUUAUUUGAACAAUCAAGAUUAAAAGUUACAUUCACGUGACUAUCAUGUGACCAAUAACCAAUUUUCAAUCCUAACCAUCUAUGAUUGGUUAUAAGACCCAAAUUUAUUGUUGUCACAGUUUUUAUGAGAACUGUUCUCCCUUGAGUCACUCCUAUAUAUAUAUAUAUCAAGCCAAAUCACGAACCUAACGAGUCAUACUAUAUCCAGCUCAAGUUCGGCUUGUUUAUUUCACGAGCUUAAUUUCUAACUCAAGUUUGGCUCAUUUGGUUCAUGAACCAAGUUUGUCGAACUAAAUAACAAGUCGAUUUCCAAACGAAUACCAAUUUGGUUCGGUUUAUUACUAGCCCUACUUUUAAUUAUAGUAUAGAACUAUGGAUAAAUGUUUUGAAAAUUCCUUAUAGGAGUUUUUGGGUUCUUUUACGUUGUAUUUUCAAAGUAUCAGUCUCUUAUUACUUCAGACAUUCAUAGUUAAAUUAUUUUGGACUGCAGAAAAAGUAUGUCCACUGGGUACUUGGCUAGCAACAUUUCUAGGGGUACUCUUUGUUGUCGUGUUUGUGUCUAUGCCGGUGGUUGAUUCUUGUUCACCGUGAAAGAAAGUAUGUUUUAUGAUUCCUUGUGGCAGACUUUAAUCUCUUUUUCUCCAAUAAAUGACAGGAAGCAUAUGAAAGUAAUAAACAGGAUAUAACUGUUGCCUUGAUGAAGAGUUACCCAUUACUCUUGCGGAAGUUCAUUUCAGAUAAAGAAAAGGUGUCAUCACUGGUUGAGAUUAUUUUAUACAUGGACCUUGACCUCUAUUCUUUGAAGAGACAGGAGCAGGUUAGUGAAUCGAUCUUGCAUUUUAUUUCUGACUUUUUUCAUUGUUUCCGAAAAUUUAAUUACUGCUUGCUUUUCAGAGUUUCAAAAAUAUCCUCCAGCUCAUUAAAGAAGCAUUUUUUAAGCAUGGUGACAAGGACACCCUGAGAGCUUGUGUGAAGGCAAUUGAUUUUUGUUGCGAAGAAACUGAAGGGGAGUUGCAAGAUAUUGCCCAUAAUAAAGUAAAGGAACUCGAGGAUGAAUUUAUUUUGAAGCUGAAAUCUGCAAUUAAAGUAGUAGUGGUAUGUCCCACGAAAUUCAAAUGUGUUGUUUUCUGUUAUAUGUGGAUCUCCUAGGAAAAAGUUGACAUAUUAUGAAUGGUACUGCAGGAUGGUGGUGAUGAAUAUUCUCUUCUUGUAAACUCUAAGAGGUUGUAUGAGCUCCAUUUAUUGAUAUAUGUGCCUAUUGAUAAUAACCUAUAUGAUGACAUUGUCAUGGUGCUACGUGGUUUUAGGAAUAUGGAGGAUGAGGUGUGUGAAUGGUUACUCACAGCAGGCAUUAUAUUUUCUUUGGCAUUCUUAUUUGUGUUGAUUAUUAGUUACUACUUAGUAAUUUUCUGCCUAUUAUCAUUCAGGUCGUUGGCUUUCUGCUUCUGAGCAUGUAUUUGCACAUGGCUUGGGGUCUGCUAUCUAUUAUAAAUGAAGAAGUUGUUUAUGAAGCAUCCUUAGCUUCUCUUCUGUAUAAGCGCGAUACCUUGUUACAAGAACUUGAAUACUUUUGCAACUUAGGUACUGACAGCAAGGAAGGUGGUAAACAAGGAAGUGAAUUAGCUUGCAGAGUAAGAGAGCUCUGAUGUUUUCCUUUUUUUGCCUCUAGUAUAAAUAUAUUGUCUUGAGUCCAGAUUUGGUCUGAUAAAUUAUGUUAUUGCCAAAGGUAUGCAUCAUAUUUUCAGAAAUAUGGUUCUUAUUUAGGAGGGAAAAUUUCUUCGAGACACCGUUGGAAAGAUUAUUAUAUGAGCCAAAUGAAUAUGUGCUUCGGAAAUUCUGGAAACUCUGUGAACAACUGCUUAAUGUUUCAGGUAACCCCAAAUAGACAUGUUGAAGACGAUGGAGUAGUGCAAAGAUUUGUCUUACGUUUCUUAUUUAAAUUUAAGCAACUUACUAUAAAAUGUAAAAAUUCUUAAUACCUACUAUCUCUAGGAUGGUCUUGGCAUUGGAAGUUUAAUUUGCAUAGUAACUUUGAGUUAAUACUGCUAAAUCUCCUCAUUGAUGUAUCCUUGCCUUCAUAUAUAUACCGUGUACUCAUUUUGUAUCGCAAUAAAAGUAUGUUUCACUUGCCCAUCAAUUUUCAGAAGAGGAGGAAGAUGAAUAUAUUAACAGAGAGUAUUUUGAGGAGACAAAUAGAUAUAUUGUUAUAAUUGCUGCUAUAAAGCUGGUCGCUUUUGAUGCUGUUCCAAAGGUAAUUUUUUGUCUGUUUCUAAAAAUUUAGGACAAUUGACAUUCUUUUGGCAAAAAUAUUUUUCUUUUGAGCGAAACUUAUUUUGAUGCCUUAAUUUUGCUAUUCCUAAUGCAGGAGUAUCUUGCUUCUGAGAUUAUUUCGCAUUUUGUAAUGCAUGGGACAAGUGUGGCUGAGAUUGUAAAGCAUUUGAUCACACUUUUGAAGGAAAAAGAUGAUGAUUUAGCUGCCAUUUUACUCAAAGCACUGAAAAAGGUAACUGUCGCUUUUGAUCGAUGCAGGCUUAUAUGUGCAUGGUAAAUAAGGUUGGGUUUUCUUUUUAUGGGUGUACCAGUACCUUUUUAGAAUCAAUUAAUGGUCAAUAUUUAGCCUCAUGUUCCAUUUAAUUGAAAUGUAAGUACAAAAAAAACUUUUUGGUUCCUUACUCGUAGGGUGUGGGGAUACCACUAGUAGUACAAAAAAAAACUUUUGGGGUGUAUCACAAAAGAAAAUCAUGUGUUUUAUGUUUAUAGUGCGAGACGUGGCUAAAUAUUGACCUCUACUUACUGAGGUAUCAAUACCCUUCAAAAGAUGUAGGUACCAGAGAUAGAUUUGUGUUGGUAACUACUACUUUCGAUAUUGAUUUCUCUAUUUAUAUUUCCUGAAAACUUGCGAAACUGAUAGGAACCUGAAUCCUAGGGUUGUCAACAUUUAAACAUCUGUAUUCUUAGAGACAAAUGAGUGUAUUAAUUUGGGUAUUUACCAAGAUUUAGGGGAUGGUAUAUGUAGGUUAUGUAUUGUAACUUGGGUGGUUAUCAAUUGUCGGGGUAGUUAUGUGCAGAUUGUGUAUUAUUAGGAAAUGAGGGUAAGGGGAGUAAUUCAUUGGGCAUUUCUAGAUUUGUGUUAGUGUUUGGGCAGAGAAGAAGUUAUCUGAAGGAGCAUUGCUCUGGGACAAGAGCAAUCUCUAGUAUUUGUGUAUUUAUAUACUAUAAAUUACCAUAUUUCAUCUUGUAGUUCUGGGUUUCUACCACAAACCCUUUAUUUUCAGUUCAAGUUUAAGCUCAAGUAGACACAGUUCAACAUAAGAUUCGCCUUUCUGCUUGAAUAAUAGUGCUACUGGACUACUUUCUUUACAAGUUUUAUGGAUAAGCAAUUUGAAUUUGAGUUGGUGGAAAAUGUCGGUUUGCUUUUCCACCAUCCAUUUGCCUGAGGAAGAUCUCCAUGUUUUAUGCUUCAUCCUCUUGUCCUCUCUUCUAUUCUGAAUUCUUAACCAAUAUAUUCUGGUACCAGGCAUAUCAUCGCCGAGUUGUGGAUAUUUCUGGCCCUGAGACUGAUUCCUCAGAUAGCACCUCUUUAUCGGGAUGUAAAGAUCUGGCCGCUGAGCUUUCUGGAACAUUUAUUGGUGCUGAACUGGUCAAACAUAAGGCAGUCAUUUUAGAAAUUGUCAGGGAAGGUAUCGAAUAUGCUUUUGUAGAUGCUCCCACUCAGUUGUCUUUUCUGGAAGCAGCUGUGCUCCAAUUUGUUCCAAAACUCCCUGCAUCAGAUGUGUUGGAAAUGUAAGUUUAUCAUUGUUAGCACCAUUCAGCCGCGUUUACCAUUUGCAGCUGUACAGAGUUUAAUGCAGCUUCUUUAUGAACAGCAUGGACGAUGUUCAAAAGCGAACAGAAAAUGUCAAUACAGAGGAAGAUCCCAGUGGCUGGCGUCCCUAUCACACAUUUAUUAGCUUACUUGAAAAAUAUGUAAACAAUGAUGUCAAUCAAGGUAGUCUAUUCUACUUUUUUCCUAUUCGUUUUACCGUACGACCAACUACUAUAUAUUCUUUACUGAAACAGGCUAUAGAAAAUAGUCAUGAAUUGUUUUUCAAUUAUCUUCUUCCCCCUUCUUAGUGUGCUACACGAUAUGAACUUAACAUGUUAAAACUGAAUAUUUAACCUAAGGACGACAAACACAUUCUUUUUCAUUUUUCAGAAGAGAUAGAAGGGGCUUCUGUAAGUCGCAAGGGUCACCCCCGUAAGCCACAAAACAUGGAAGGAAAGAAGCUUUUCGAUGACCAGAGCUCAAGUGACGACGAGGACUCCCUCAGUGAAUACGAAGAUGUACAUGAUGAGGAGGAGGGGAGUCAAGAAGAGGAAGAUGAAGAUGAAGAUUCUCCUUUUAUAUUUUCAAUCAAAUCAUCUUCCAAGUUAAUGUCGCUUGGAAAUAAAGGUCAAACAAAGGCAGGGACUUCUGUCAGCGCUGUAGACGAUUUAUCUGCUUCUAAAACAUCAGGUAUCUUGUGUUAGCAAAUCAAGAUUUGGAUAUCAAUCUUAACCCGAAAUGCUUAUAGGAAAACAAAUAUGCAUGCCUGACUUUGGAAAUGAAAUUUGCCUUAUCGAAUACUGUUGAAGUGCAUGCAUAUGUCUUCAUAGUUUAGCCUCUUUUAGGUACAAAAAGGCCAUUUUGUGGUGUGCAUGCUUUAUUGUUUUGGAAACUUUGUUAGUAAGUUCAACCAUAAUUUUCUGAAAAUUUUGAUCAAGAAUAUGCCUUUAUGAUUUUGCUAACUUGCUAAAAUUCUCCUCUGAAACAAAAUAGACAGACAUAACUGAUCGUAUUUGUGGGUGUGGUGAAGAAUUGGAUCUGAAAAAUAUAAAUUGUGAAAUAAUUUAUAAUACCCAUUUGCCACUCCAAAAAACUAUGCUAAUUGUAUAUUCUGUCCUAAUUCUCACUGUAUUUUUUUGUUGUGCAGGGGCAUCCAACUAGUGAUGUUAAGGUUGUAGGUUUUGGGCAUUACCUUGGAACAUGAUAGUUUCGGAUCCUUGUAAUAAUAAUUAGCAAUUCAACUUGCUUGUUGUAUAUGGCCAUGGAGCUUGUAAUGAGAAAAUAUAAAAAUAAGAAAAUGUGUUGAAGAAUAAUAAUUUAUUAUGAGAAAUAAUAAAAUUAAUAUUCGAAAGUUUAUGAUGAUUAUUAUUGGAGGAAUUACAAAAAGAUAAUUUUGGAAUGUGAAUUUUUUUGCCAUGGUAGUUAUUUAUAGUUUUGACUUUAUAUAUAGUGUAGAUAUAGAUAUAAAUAUAUGAUUUUAUCUCUAUGCGUUUAGUUAAUAAACCAUUGGUUGAAUCACUAUAUCAGUAUUUUGAUCAUUGUGAUAUAUGAUAUGAUAGUAACAAUACUAUAAUUUUCUUUGGUGGUGUCUAAAUCUCCCUACUCGUUUACUCAGUAUAGCUCGAUUAUGAUCAGAGCCAAAUGGGGUCGGGUCUCUUCGAUUCUACGAUCAAGUUCAAACUUAGACCUAAUCAAUAUUUAGGGUCGGGUUAAUAAUAUAUACAUAUAUAUUAUAUUUAAUCGGACAUAUGGUCGAGUUAGGUUUAAAGGUUGGCGUAAUCGAUAUUCAGGGUCGAGUUAGCUUCGAAUAUAGGUCUCAGUCUGAGUUCAACAAAAUGAUCCAACCAAUAUUUAGGACUAAGUAAGAGACAAAUCUUAACCCGUUCUAAAUAGGUCCAUGCUCACCCCUAGUUGUUAGUAUAUAUCACAAAAUUUAUGUUAUUUUACAAAGGUAUGUAAAAUAAAAAGUUCUAUUAAAUAUUAAUUGUAAAGUAAGAAAAAUAAAAUAAAGAGAAAUAUGUGUGAAGUGAGAAAGUAAUGAAACAAAUCUAUUAGGUAGCAAAGCCCACUAAGUGAAAAGCCCAUAAAACCCUAAACACCACCUAUAAAAUGCAACGUUGAUAAGAUCUUGAGAGAAAUCUUGAAACCCUAAGAAACAAAGCAAAAAUGCCGGCUGGUCACGGUUUACGAUCACGCACCAGAGACUCGUUCUCUCGCGCUUUCAGGAAGAAAGGUACAAUCCCUCUCACCACCUACCUCCGAACCUAUCACAUCGGCGAUUACGUCGACGUCAGAGUUAACGGCGCCGUUCACAAAGGUAUGCCGCACAAAUUCUACCACGGCCGCACCGGCCGCGUCUGGAACGUCACCAAACGCGCCAUCGGCGUCGAAAUCAACAAACAGGUCGGUAACAGAAUUAUCAGGAAGAGAAUUCAUGUUCGUAUCGAACAUGUUAUGCCUUCUAGAUGCAACGAAGAGUUUCGUUUGAGGAAGGUUAAGAAUGAUCAAUUGAAAGCUGAGGCUAAAGCUAAGGGUGAAGUUAUUAGUACUAAGAGAAAGCCUGAAGGACCUAAACCUGGUUUCAUUGUUGAAGGUGCUUCUCUUGAAACGGUUACUCCUAUUCCUUAUGAUGUUGUUAAUGAUCUUAAGGGAGGUUAUUAGAUCGAUGUUUUUAGGUUUCGUUUCUCGUUAUUUUGGUUUUGGUUUGAGUUGCUUUUUGUUAUAUUUUUACUUUAUUGAAUUUGUCAGACUUAAGUUUUGAAGUUUAUUUGAAUUCAAGAAUAUGUUUUGUUAUUCGAUUCUAUCUUAUCUAUUCGUAGAUUUAUAUAGUGUUCUGUGUUGAAACUUGGUUGAGUGUGAUAACAUAUACUUUGAUAUGAAUCGUUCACGCUUUAUGAAAAUCUACAUUUUUAAUACAUUACUUAACAACCCAAGCCAAGAAAUAAAACAAAGUUUUGGCUUACUGUUUUUUUACAUAGUUAGUGAACUUAGCAAUUCAAAUAUGCGUGUAUAAUCAACCUCACAUGACAAUAAAUUUUGGUAGACUGUGUUUUACUUAGUUCCAUGAAUUUAGAAAUUCAAAUAUGCUUUUUGUAUAACUCUAAUUGGAUUAAGACAUAAAGGUGCAUCAGCACCCCAAAUAUAUUAUAUCAGAAUCUAUAGUUAGAUAAGCCUAACCUACUCUAGAGAAGUCAUCAUAAAGGAAGUUUGCAAUUGAAUUUCACUGAGAGUAAACUUUAUAAGAGGAUUCCAAAAUUUGCCAAUUGUUUCCUCCCUAUAUAUGUGUGAUACUCGAAUGUCCAUUGAAGAUAUUAGAAUCUUGCACAAAUUCUUUUGUUGUUAUGCAAACUUGAUGCCAAACCAUAGUAACGAACUUCCUAACACUUGUGUCACUAGACCAAAUAAAAUUCUUGAUGCUAUUAUCCAUAUAUUUAUGCAAUUGAGAAGGCCAAGCAUAUAUAUGAAAGUUGUAACCAACAUAUUUUGAAUGAUUGAUUUCAUAAGCUCCACUCUACCCAUGAUUGAAAGUGAGGAUCAUUUCCGGCUAGCAAGCUUUAAAUAAUUCUGGUAGCAAUUGGAUCGGGGUGAAUCCUUCUAGGCUUCCUUUUAAAAAGAGGAACACCCAACUAGUUGAAUUAGAGACAACCAACAGAAAAACUCAAAUAAGAGAAUGAAUUUGAGAUUUUCCUAGCUGAAGCAUGACAAGUGUAGAACUUACACUUGUUUGGAUUACUUUGUGUCUUGAUGUUUGUGCAUAAUCAGAUAUAAGCAGCUUAAGGGCCAAAAGCUCCUUCUUAAUACUUUUGUAAAAGAUUAGGAUAUCAUCAACUAGGAGUGUGAAUUUUGACCAUUUAUAUUGAUGAAAAGCUUAGCUGAAUACAGAAUUAUCUUAAUCAAGUUGAUGGAAAGCUUAGCAGAUCAUGUAUUAAUUAAUUGAUAUGAAUAUGUUAACAAUUUUACAAUUUCACAGCAUCAUAAUUUGAGGCUUGGUUUUUUGUUCUAUAUUAUAUAUUUUUAGUACAUGUAUAUGUGAAAAAAUAUCAUUGCAAGGGCAUUCAUUGACACGUAUAUGAAAUAAUUCAUGUGCAGAUGCACCAUUAUGUUAGUACAUGUAUAUUAUAUAUUUUUAGUGUAUAAAAAUAUAAUUUAAUACGUAUAUACUGACAGUAUAAGUAUUUUUUACACUAUUAGUAAAUCAUCAAUCAUUCUUAUGUUAAUUAUCAUUGACUCUCAAAUAAACCAUAAAAAUACGCUUUGGCCUGGCAAAAAAAUCAUGUCCCAUGGUACAUCUUUUUACAUUAUGUUACAUAAGUAGUACCGCAUUUGUAACAUUGAAUGCCCAGAUGCACCAUUUAUUGUGUGUAUAUAAAUAUCAUUUGCGGACAGUUUUAUUGGCUAAUUAUUGUAUAUUGAGUUUAGGCCUAAUUCUCAUCCCUACUUAUAUUUCGUAAAAUUAACUUAUGGCUUUGAAGUUGAUUAAAAUCUCAUUUUUUUUUAAAGUUUCAAAAGCAUCGAGCCAAAGUUUAUGCUCAAGUGUGAAAACUUAACAUGUUUGACAAUUUUUGUUGAGAAGCUAGUUUGAAGGCUGAAAAGUUAAGUAACGCUAAAAAUCGGAAUUUAAAGUUAAAAAGCAUGAACAAAGGUGGAAUGGUAAUAAACUAACAUGUUUGUUAAAACUAGUUGAUGAAUUGAUUGAAAAUAAUAAGAAGAUGAAAAGUGUAUUAUAAUCUAUCUAGAAGAUUACAAUGCAUAAGUUCUUUCAAGGGUCUCUUAUAUUAGAGAGCUUGUAAUCUCGUGGCUAGAGUAUAAAUGUUUUCUAACUAACACUAUUACCACUUAUAUCACUAAGAUAAUGUGAAAGAUGGAAAUAUCUGAAUUGAAAAAUGAGUAUAUAUGAGUUUUUGAUGGUUUAUGAAACAAGGUGUCAUUUAGCAUAGUGGUUGUAUGUGUGGGUAAUGGAUUUGUGAUUGUGGGUUUGAUCCCAAGUUUGGUGAUUUUUUGUUCAUGUUUUUAUUUACAAUGCGUAUAAGUAAAAAUGAAGAAUCACACAUGUGAGUAUUCGAACUAAGGACACGGUGCUUAGCAAGUAUUGUAGCUGCUGCUAGGGGGAGCACAUCUGAUGUCCAUAGUUUGUGCCACUCCAUGUGUCACCUUGUGAUUCGUCAGAAAAAUAUUUAAUAAUUAAAUUUUAACUUAAAUAUAUUUUUCUGAUCAAUGAGUGAACAAACUAUGAGAUAAUAUAUGUGUACCUGCUGCUAGGGUAUCACACCUGUUUGACCAUUUAUUGAACUGUUAUACUACAAAACAUUUCGUUAACGCGUAUAAAAUCUUAAAGGUACUUCUUUCCCUCAAGUGAUAUAAAAUUUUCUAUGAAUAGAGAUACUUGAAGGCAUAAUGUAUCAUCCAGAUUUUUCAUCUAAGAAAUCAUCCUUCAUUUCUAUAAUACAUGAGAGAAGUAUAGGAAAUAUAAGUUUGUAAACUAUUAGGGAAAUAUAUGCUUGUUGUGUUUGGACAAAACAUAUAAGAUUUUACAAAGUAUCCUAAAGAGGAUUCACUAUUCAUCCUGUUUGCAUCCAAUAUACUUAAAAUGGUGGGAGCGAACCGAACCUAAAAAUUAUUGUGGUAACACACAUUUUGGAGGUUUUUAUGUGCAUUUUCAUCAACUAUUUCUUUGUUGAAGUGUUAUAGCAUCUUCCAAUAAAUCAAGUUUGUUGGCAGAUAAUAAUGUUGAUUACUCCCCUUCUCGAUUCACUAUAGUAGAAAAAUAAAGGGAUAUUUUUUGGUACAUAAAAAUAAAGGAAUAUGAUAAUGCAUGCAUGUAUUGAUUCUAUUGUGAUUAUGGAGAAAUAUAGAGUUAACAUAUUGAUUAUUAUUUAGAUUUACAGAAGUAUGAAAUAUUGAAUUUUAUUAAACUUAAAUUAAUAAUGAAUUAUUAUUUAAUUGUAUAAAAAUAAUAAAAUAAAAUAUUGUGUACAGUGAUUAAAUAAUAUUUAGUGAUUCUGUUGUGUUUAAUAAAUAUUUAUCAUUUAAUAAUAUUUAUUAAAUAAAAUAAAAUAAAAUAAUUAAAUAAUAUUUAAUAUUUAAUAAAUAUCUUCCUUUGUUCUUAUAGUAAAGGUGUUGACUACCUCUUCCCUUUCAAUUCAUGUAUUUCAUUAUAAUAUAAAAGUAAAGGAAUAUAAUAUUGCAUUAGUGAUUCUGUUGUGCUUAUAGUGAAAUACAAAGUUAUCAUAUUGAUUAUUAUUAAGGUAUAUAGUAGAAUAUGAAAACUAAUAAAAUAAUUUAUUUUGGCCCUACAAUAUUAGAUGUUUGUAUAUGCUAUUUUUAUUAAUUCUUUAUUUAUUUAUUCUAUGAAAAUAAUGUAAAUAAUGCUUUAAAUAUUAAAUCUUGGUUAGGCUAUCAAUUAAAUAGAAAUUAAGGCCAUAUCUUCAUUUGUGCUUUUAGUUAAGAUGUUGACUACUUUUUCCCUGUAUUUCACUAUAAUAGUUAAUUGUACAUAAAAUAAAAUAAUAGAUAUGAUUUGUCAUGUCGCAUUCUAGAAGGGAUAUGUGAUGGUUGUUGGGUAAUAUUGCAUUAGUGAUACUUUUUUAUUUUUGGAUGUCUCUCUUUAUUUGUUUAUUCUUAGAAAAUACUGCAAAAUUAUUUUUUAAUCAUUAUCAAAUAAUAUUUAAACAAUUUUCCAGUUAUUUAUUAGUAUUAUUUCGUCCCUUUUCCAAUUAAAAAGCAUGCAUGUUUCCAUCUUUCAAUUUUCUUAUUUAAGACAUUUUAUAAAAAAAGAAAUACAUCCACUUUAAAUACAAUUCACCCCUUGUAACAAACACAUUAAAACAAAUAUCUCAGACAAAUUAAAGGAUCAAAUUGACGUUGAGAAAUGAAAACAUCUUAUAUCAUCUCCCUUAUUCUCUUAUUGCUUACUUUCAUUGGUACCAAACAUCUCUCAUUUCAUCUUAUCUAUUUUCAAUCACUAUAUCAACAUCACAUGCAUAUUUUCCUCUCUCACUACAAACAUACAUUAGAAUCAGCAUAUUAAUCUCUCUUUACUAAUCACUAUAUAGUCAAUAUGUUUAUCCGAGAAGAAAACUACCCUAAUUUAUACAAUUUACGCAUUUAAUAUGUGUUGAAUUGUUCAAUAACACGUGUUGAAUUGUUAUACAAUUUAAAUAAGACUUUUCAUGUCUUGAUCAAAUGAAUGAAAAUUUAUCAUAAUAUUUAUUUUACAUUUUCGUAAUAUAGUAUCAGAGCUUUCAUCCUGAAAGCUUUGAUCACCACUGCACAUUCUCUAAAAUCAUUCUCUAGAAACACAAGAGAAACAAUAUAUACAUGCAUUAUCUUCCCUUUAUUUCUUUAUCAUAGUGAAAGUUGAUUCAUAAUAACCAAAAUUUGCAAUGGCAGGUGGUUUAGACUCUGAAUUUGUGAAAGAAAAUGGUAAAUGUUCGGCGCCAAUCAGAGUUAGAUGUGAGGCAAAGACAUGCAAUAAUGAUUGCGCUGCAAGAUAUCGUGGUGCUAGAGGACAAUGCUUGCUCGACUCCGUUUGUAAAUGCACAUAUCCUUGCAACAUAUAGUUCAUUAUGCUAAGGUUGUAUCCCAAAUCCUCACCUAGUUUGUGACCAAAAAUAUAUGAAUAAAGAAAUAAUGAGUGAUGGUAUUUGGCAAAACAAUAAUCAUCACACAAAAAUUAUUAAUUAUAUAUAAAAUUAUCCGAUCAGAUUGAAUGAUUUAACCAUUUAUAUUGAUUAAACUUAAUAAAGAUAUCUUCUAAUUUGAUGUUCGAUUCAGUUUAAUAAAUUAUCCGUUGUGUUUAUAGAGAAAUACAAAGUUAAGAUAUUGAUUAUUAUUAAGGUGUAUAGUAGAGUAUGAAAUUUAAUAAAUUAAAUUUGAUUUGUUUAUUUAAAAAUUACUUAUUUUAUUAUUUUAGAAACUAAAAAUCAAUAAAUUAAUUAUUAUUUAAUAGUAUAUAAAUAAAAAAAUUAAAAUAUAUAUCUGAAUUUUUAUCUCACUUUCUUGAAGCGAUAUGUGGCAACGACAUAAUUAUUAUCGGGGAAUAGUUGAAAAAUUGAGAUUAGAGACUUUUUUUAUUUAUAUUUAUAUGUAUUUCUCUAUAUAAUUGGUAUUCUUUAUUCAAUUAAAAGUUAAGUUUUGGUAUUCUUUCGCUUUUGGCCCUUCAAAAUUAGAUGCUCGUAUAUGCUAUUCUUUUCUUAACUCUUUAUUUAUUUAUCCUUUGAGAAGAAUGUAAAGUAAUUGUGUUAAUAAUAAUAAAAUAAUAAUUAAAAAAUAAAAAUAAUGCUUUAAAUAUAAAGUCUUGGCGAGACUAACAAUUAAAUAGAAAUUAAGGCUAUAUCUUUCUUUGUUAUUCUAGUUAAGACGUUGAAUACUUUCCUUUUUAAUUCAUGUCUUUCACUAUAAUAGAAAAGUAAAGGAUGUGAUAAUGCAUGCAUGUAUUGAUUCUCUUGUAUUUCUAGAGAAAUAUAAAGUUAAUAUAUUGAUUAUUAUUAAGGUGUAUAAUAGAAUAUGAAUUAUAUAAAUUUAUUAAGCUUAAAUUAAUAAAUUAAUUAUCAUCUAAUUGUAUAUAAAUAAAUAAAAUGAAAUAAUGUAUCUGAUUUAAUUUGUCAUGUCACAUUCUAGAACUGGUAUGUGACGAUGACUAGAUGAAUUCACUUUGAGCUAGUUAUUCUAUGAAAAUAAUGUAAAAUAUUUUUUAAUGAUAAUCAAAUAAUAUUUAAACAAUGAAAAUAAUAUGUAAUCUUUGGGAGGUUAAAGAUUCAAUCAAUCAUCCACCAUUGAUUUAUUAACCACCAUUGACUCUCAAAUAAAAAUAAUACAAAUCAAUAAUAGAUGAUAUGCUGACAGUAUAAAAAAUUUUAUAUGCACAAAUUUUAAACUCUAACAACAAUAAGUUAGUAAUUAAGGUCUUAUGACCUUUUGCUCCAUCUUCGAGAUGAAUUAUUCUUGCAGUUAUUGCUACUACUUUGUCAUUUUCCUAUUAAAAAGCAAGUUUCACUUUGAGCUUUCAUUUUUUUCAUGACAUUUUUUUUGAAAAGGGAAAUAAAUCCACUUUAAAUACCAUUCACUCCAUGUAACAAACACAUUGAGACAAAUAUCCUAGACAAAUUGAUGGAUCAAAUUAACAUUAGAAAAUGAAAACAUCUUAUAUUAUCUCUCUUAUUCUAGUAUUGCUUAUUUUCUUAGGUACUAAACAUCUUCCAUUUUACCUUAGUUUUUUUUAUCACUAUAUCAACAUCACAUAUUCCUCUGUCACUACAAAAAUACAUUAGAAUCAGCAUGUUAACUCUCUCUUUAGUAAUGACGAUAUAACCAAUAUGUUAACUUUGUAAUUCUCUAGAAACACAACAAAAUUAGUACAUACAUGCAUUAUCAUCCCUUUAUUUCUUUAUUAUAUUGAAAGUGUUAGAAUUUUUGAUAAUGACUUCCGCGUUUAAUCUAUGGAUUUUGGAUGGAGAAAUUCUCCAACAGAAAGUUGAUUGAUGAUAACCAAAUUUUGCAAUGGCAGCUGAUUUAGACUCUGAUUUUGUGCAAGGCGGUGAAUGUCAAUUUGGGAUUCCUACAAGCGAUUGUGAGAUAUCACUUAACAAAAAAUAUUCCACUUGUAUAUGCACAUAUCUUUGUAAAAAUCCCCUACUAUAGUUCAUUACGCUAAUAUUGUAUCCCAAAUCCUCACGAGGAAAAAGAAUAAUCAUGAGUGUUUUAUGAAAGUUAAUUUUUUAUUUUAUCACUUAACAAGUCCGAGCCAAGAAAUAAAAAUAAUUUUAGAUUUUUUAAUGUAAACCGAGUCAAUCGAUUUAAUUAUUAACCCACUAAUUCAAUUAAUAACUUUUUGAUUUAAUGCUCUACCCGAAUCAUUGACUAAUCCGAGUUUAAUAACACUGGAUAAACAUUGUGGCAGAGGAGCAAUGGGAUUAUGGAGGAAGGAUCUUCCCUCCUAAAAAAAGUGAAAUAAUACAAAUCUAAAUUUUAUUGAAGGUUUUUAGGAUUGAAUAAAUAGUACAAAUCUUAUUCCAUUAUCAAAUUUGAAUUUAGUAAUCCUAUAAUAUCCAAGGUCGUCAAUCUAAUUGUAUCACAUAGUAUUAAGAUUUAAAAAUACGUGAUUCACGAGCUUAUGAGCAUUCAGAAGAGUUAUUAUUAAACAUGUACCAAUAUUAUGUUAAAAAGAUAGUAAAGAUAAAAUUUUGUCAUGUAUUAUUUUCUAUUAAGCAUGAGAGUAUUAUAACAAAUAAUAAGAAAUUGUUUUAAAAGAAUAAAGCUAACUACACUCUUCUAUAAUUCAUCCAUAUAUUUUACCAACAUAAUUCAUUAUUCACUUCAUAGACAGCACACAAGCUUCACCAUUUUACUUAAGAUGGCCAAGCUUAAUUUCUUUCCUUACAUGUAGGGUUAAUUUUGGGUAGCAUUUGGUAAUUAUUUAUCUUUAUAACUUCCUUCAGAAGUUCCUUUUUCUUGUACAUAAACAUAUGAACGUAACAUAGAUUACAACACUGAUUAGUAGUAGAUCAAAUUUCUUAUGUUUGUUUUCUCAAAAACCAAGGUUCCAAGCUCAUCAAACUAGAUCUCAGAUUAAAUUCAAAGUUUUCUCUCCUAUUUUUUUGUAUUAUAAAAUAUUGUGCAAUGGUGCUUCUGGACAUUCAAUGUGAAGAAGGUACUUGUGUAAUAUAAUGCAAAAAUAUGUACCAUGGGACAUGAAUUUACUUUUCUAAGUUAAUUCAAUGCAUUAAGAUAGAGACCUAAUAUAUUUUAUGUAAGGUUGAUUAUACACAAAGCAUAUUUGAAUUGCUAAGUUCCUACUAAGUAAACAAAGUCUACCAAAAUAUAUUUUUUUAUUUCUUGGUAGGGUUUGUUAAAUGAUGUAUUCAAAAAAUGAAACUUUCAUAAAGCGUGCAUGAUUAUUAUUGGUCUAAUGGGGUAAGAUCAUAGUCGAUCUCCAGAAAGACUAAGAGGUAAAAGAUUUGAAUUCUGAAAAUAAUCCUUAUCGGGAGAGAUAAUCACGUAUCCCGAGAGGAACUUACAAGUUAAGAGAAUAAUACUUAUGGGGGAGUUUCACAAUAAUAUGUGCAGUAACAAGUGGAGUGUUGACAUAUUCCUGAACCACUAGGUUCUUUAGAGCAUUCUUCAUUGCAUUGUAUCACACAUUCGCUUGUAGGAAUCACCUUGUGACAUGUAUGUUCUGGGAUUAACUUCCCAUAAGCACGGCCUCGCACAAAAUCAGAAUCUAAACCAGCUUCAAUUGCAAAAUUUGGUUAUAUUCAAUCAUCUUUCACUAUAGUAGAAUAGUAAAAUUUGGUUAUAUUCAAUCAUCUUUCACUAUGUAAGGUUGAUAUAUAAUGAUAGAAAAAAGAUAAAAUGAAAUGGAACAUGUUUAAUACCUGAGAAAAUAAGCAGCAAUAGGAGUAUAUGAGAGACAAUAUAAGAUGUUUUCAUCUUUCAGUGUUUGUUACUAAAUGUUAACGUUAUUUAAAGGGGUUGAGGGGUUGUAUUUCCCUUUUAAAUAAAAUGUUCUAAAUAAAAAUAUUUGAUUUGAAUGCUUAAAAACACAUGCUUUUUAAUUGAGAAAGGAAGAAAUCAUUUCAUUUAUAACUAGAUCAAGUAUAGUUAUAAUUUGUUAGCAUGGAAUGGGAUUUUUUUAGUGGUGGGGUUAAGAUGGGUAAAGCGGUUUUUAUUCGAAAUAAGAUUUCAGCUUGAAUAAUUGAAUAAAAAUGACCAACAUAGGAAGCAAUUAAUAUGAGAAUGUACAGAAUUAUGAACAUUAAAUCACUUGUUAAAGUAGUUGUAUACUUUGUUUAGUUUGUUUACUUCUGUUUCUGUAUGUAGCUUUUAGUAGGUUAGGAUAAAUUUAGUUUACAAAUAGUAUGGGUAAUUAGUUUUGUUGAGUGUUGAUUUUUCUCUUCUAUUUUGUAUAUAUCUCUCUCUUUGACAUUCAUUCACAAUCAAUGAAAAUAUUCUGAGUUAUUCUUUAAUACUCAAAUAUUGAUUCUUUUUUUCGAAGAGUUUAAUUCUUUUUCCUCUUUUAAGUUAUUUCUUUUCAAGUAUAGAAAGUCAUGUUUUAAAUUAUAUCAAAACAUAAUUUUUUUUUUUGAUAGCUUAUGCUAAAAAGGUAAUUGUCAAGAAGCCUAUAUAGUGUUAUCAACCCAAGAAAAGAACCUCUUCGAAAAUCUUGUUGUAUGAUAAGUCAAACUCAACAUGAUAUUUCAUAUACAGUUGAUCUUUCUUCUUCUCUGAAUUUUUUUCAAGAAAGACUCGUUAUGAUUCGUAUUCCUACUCCUAUCAAGAAGAUUCCAAUUCUUCAGCAUGAGUUGCAUUCCCUGUAUGUUCUCGAUUGUGGAGGUUGCUUUAAGAUUUGAAAACUUCAACCUAAAUCACAGAGUGUAAGCAGUGAUAGCAAUAAAAAUGUGCAGCUCCAUUGAACACAUUUUAUUUUUAUUUUUUUAUCAUUUUCCCCUUCCAAUUAUCUUUUUUUUUUACUCAUCUCUCAUUAAACACAUAACAUUAAAAAAGUGGUUAAACUGUAGAUGAAAUGCUUCUGCUUAUGAUAGUUAAGCUUCGAUAUUGCUUCACAUUCAGAUUUCAAUACUAGAAAAUGAAGAUUCACUCACAAACAAGAGAAUAUAUAAAAAACACAAAGUUUAGGCUCAAGUGUGAUAAAGAUAACAUGUGCCACAAUUUUUGGUGAAAAGCUAGUUGAAUGCUGCAAAGUUAAGUAAAGCUAAAAAUCGAAAUAAAAGAUAAAAAGCAUGAGCAAAGGUGGAAUGUUAAUAAGCUAACAUGUUUGCUAAAACUAGUUGACGAAUUGAUUGAAAAUGAUAAGAUGAAAAGUAUAUUAUAAUCGAUCUAGAGGAUAACACGACAUAAGUUAUUUAAUUUCAAGGGUCUCUCAUAUUAGAGAGCUUGUAAUCACGUGGCUUCACUAAAAAUGUUUUCUAGAGAAAUACAAAUCAUUAUUAAUAUAAAGAUUUAUAUAUAGCAAGUGAAUUAUUCAUUAUUCAUUUAUAUUAUUUUUAUUUAAGAAUCAAUUAUUAAUGAUUGAAAAUAAAUGAUGUAUGAUACAAUGACAGUAUAAAAAAACUUCUAUACUGUUGAAACACAUAUUGUUUUUCUCAUUGAUUACUAUUUAGGUGUAUAGUAGCUUAUGAAAUAUGAGAUUUAAUAGACUGAUUUAUAUUUAUUUAUUUUUAAAUUAUGUAUUAUUGAUAAAAAAAAUAAUAAAUUAAUUUUUAUUUUAUUGUAUAGAAAUAAAAAUAAAUAAUAAAUGGAUAGUGACUUGAUUGUUAUUGGGGAAUAAGCAAAAAACUGAUAUCAGAGACUUUUUUAUUUUGAGCGAAGUUCUAUUUAUUUUAAGAGUAAAUUUUUUUAAACUUAUUCUCAUCCCAACUAUCAAUUUUAGGGACAUAUGAUAAUUUAGAUUUAUUCACUUAUUCAAACUAUUAGAUUUUGCUAGCAUUGAUAAUUUUUAUGUAGAGUAAGUUUAAAAAACUUAUUCUUAGAAUAAGUAGACCCCUCCAUUUUAUUUUUAGGUGUUUCUCUAAGUAGUUGGGAUAAUUUAUUCAAUUAAAAUUUAAGUUUUAAUUUUCUUUCACUUUUGGUGGGACAAAAUUAUGUGCUCGUAUAUGCUAUUUUAUUUUUUAUUUGCUUUAUAUGUUAUUUUUAUUCUCUCCCAAGAAUGUAAAAUAAUUAUUUUAAUAAUAAUAAAAAAUUAAUUAAACAAUGAAAACAAUGCUUUAAAUAUAAAAUCUUGGUGAGACUAAAACUAAAUAAAAAUUAAGACAAUGCCUACUUUUGUCCUUCUAUUUAAGAUGUUGACUAUUUCUUCCCUCUUCAAUUCAUGUAUUUCACUUUGUACAAAAAAAAAUCAUGUAUUUUACUGUAAUAGAAAAUUAAAGGGAAAUAACAAUGCAUACAUGUAUUGAUUUUGUUGUCUUUCUAGAAAAAUGCAAAGUUUACAUCAUGAUAAUUAUUGAGGUGUAUAGUAGAAUAUGAAAUAUGAAAUUUAAAAAAUUAAUUUUUAUUUAUGGCAGUGAGUUGAUGGUUGUUGGGGGGAAUAGGAAAAAAAUUGAAAUUAGAGAAUUUUUUUAUACUUUAAUGUUUUCCAAUAUGUAAUUGGUAUAAUUUAUUCAAUUAAAAGUUAAGUUUUUAUCUUCUUUUGCUUCGGGCAAGACAAAAUUAGGUGCUCAUAUAUGUAUUUUAAUAUUUUCUUAAUUCUUUAUUUAUUGUGUGAGAAGAAUGUAAAAUAAUUGUUUUAAUAAUAAUAAAAUAAUAAUUAAACAAUGAAAAUAAUUUCUUAAAUAUAAAAGCUUGGUGGGGCUAACAACUAAAUAGAAGUUAAGGCUAUAUAUUCCUUUAUGCUUCUAUUUAUGAUGUUGGAGAUUUCUUCCCUUUUUAAUUCAUGUAUUUCACUAUAAUAGAAAAUUAAAGGAUAUGAUAAUGCAUGCAUGUAUUAUUUUGUUCCCUUUCUAGAAAAUACAAAGUUAACAUAUUGAUUUUUAUUAAGGUAUAUAGUAGAAUAUGAAAUUUAAUAAAUUAAUUUUUACGCUUAUUUAAAAAUUAAUUAAUAUUAUUUAUAAAAAUGUAAAAUUAAUAAAUUAAUUAUCAUCUAAUUGUAUAUAAAUAAACAAAUAAGAAAAUAUAUCUGAAAUGUCAUCUUACUUUCUAGAAGCAAUAUAUGACAUUAACUUGAUUGUUGAUGAGGAAUACACGAAAAAAUGAGAUUAGAGACUUUUAUUUCUAUUUUCGGGUGUUUCUCUAUAUAAUUGGUAUAAUUUAUUCAAUUAAAAGUUAACUUUUCAUCUUUUUUUUCGAUUUGGGCCCGUAAGAUUAGGUGCUCGUAUAUGGCUAUUUUAUUUUCUUAGUUCUUUAUUUAUUUAUUUUCUUAGAAGAAUGUAAAAUAAUUGUUUUAGUAAUAAUCAAAUAAUAAAACACAAUAAAAAUAAUGGUAUAAUUUAUUUAAUUUAAAGUAAGUUUUGGUCUUCUUUCGCUUUGGGUCAGACAAAAUUAGUUGCCCGAUUUUAGUUUUUCUUUUCUUAAUCCUUAAUUUAUUUAUUUUGUGAGAAGAAUGUAAAAUAAUUAUUUUAAUAAUUACAAAAUAAUAAUAAACAGUGAAAAUAAUGCUAUAAGUACAAAAUCUUUGUGAGGCUAACAAUUGAGUAGAAAUUAAGGCCAUAGCCUUUUUUUGUCAUUCUUGUAAGAUAUUGACUACUUUUCAAUUCAUGUAUUUCACUAUAAUAGAAAAGUAAAGGGAUAUGAUAAUGCAUGUAGUUAUUUUUUUCCUCUAGAGAAAUAUAAAGUUAACAAAUUGAUUAUUAUUAAGGUGUAUUGUAGAGUAUGAAAGUUAAAAUUUAAUAAAUUAAUAUAUUAUUUAUUUAAAAAUAUUUAUUAUUAUUAAAAAACUAAAUUUAUAAAUUAGUUAUUAUUUAAUUGUAUGUAAAUAAAAAUAUAUCUAAAAUGUUAUCUCACUUUCUAGAAGCCGUAUGUGGCAAGAACUUGAUGGUUGUCGGGGAAUAGGCAAAAAAUUGAGAUUAGAGACUUCUUCCGAUGUUUCUCUUUAUAAUUGGUAUAUUUUAUUCAAUUAAAAGUUAUGUUUUGGUCUUCUUUCACUUUGUAAGAAAAAAUUAGUCGCUCGUAUAUGCUAUUUUAUUUUUAAUUUUCUUAAUUCGUUAUUUAUUUAUUCUAUGAGAAGAAUGUAAAAUAAUUGUUCUAAUUAAUCAAAUAAUAAUUAAAUAAUGAAAAUAAUGCUUUAAAUAUAAAAUCUUGGCGAGACUAACAACCAAGUACAAAUUAAGGCCAUAUCUACCGUUGUCAUAAUGUUGACUACUUCUUCCCUUUUUAAUUCAUGUAUUUUACUAUAAUAGAAAAAUAAAAGAUGUGAUAAUACAUGCAUGUAUUGAUUCUCUUGUAUUCCUAGAGAAAUAUAAAGUCAACAGUAACAUACAUCUUAUUAUUAAGAUGUAUGUAGAGAGUAUGAAAUAUGGAAAUUUAUUAAAAAUUUAAAUUAAUAAAUUUAUUAUUAUUUAUUUGUAUAUAAAGAAAUAAAAUAAAAUAAUAUGUUUGAUUUGUCAUGUCGCAUUCUAGAAGUGAUAUGUGAUGACGACUUUAUAAUUUUUCGGUAAUACAUGAAACAUUAAGAUUUGAUACCUUUUUAUUGGAUGUUUCUCUCGAUAAUUAGAUGAAUUUAUUCAUUUAGAAAUUAACUUUUCAUCUUCUUGCAUUUUGAGAUAGAAAAAAGUGGGUGUUCAUAUAUCUACUUUAUUUUAUUUAUUUACUUCCUUAAUUCUUUAUUUAUAUAGUCGUAGAAAAUAAUUUUUUAAUCAUUUUCAAAUAAUAUUUAAACAAUGAAAAUAAUGCUUUAGAUAUUUAAUCUUUGGGAGGUUAACAAUAAGGUAGUAAUUAAGGUCUUAUGAUCCUUUGCUCGAUAUUCUAGAUGAAUUAUUAUUCGGAUUAUUAGUACUACUUCGUCCUUUUCCAAUUAAAAAGCAUGUUUCCCUUUGAGCUUUCAAAUUUUUUUUUAAGACAUUUUUUAUGAAAAGGGAAAUACAUCAACUUUAAAUACCAUUCACUUCUUGUAAAAACACUUACUGAAACAAAUAUCUGUGACAAAUUAAAGGAUCAAAUUGAAGUUGAGAAAUGAAAACAUCUUAUAUUAUCUCCCUUAUUCUCAUAUUGCUUAUUUUCUUAGGUAUUAAACAUCUUUCUUUACAACUUUGCUAUUUUCAAUCACUAUUUCAACAUCACAUAUUCUUCUCUCUACAAAAAUAUAUUAGAAUCAACAUGUUAACUCUCUCUUUAGUAAUCACGAUAUAAUGAAUAUGUUAACUUUGGAAUUCUUUAUAAACACAAUAGAAUCAAUACAUGCAUGCAUUAUCAUCCCUUUAUUUCUUUAUUAUAGUGAAAGUUGAUUGAUGAUAACCAAAUUUUUCAAUGGUAGCUUAUGGGGAUCCAAUCCCGGAACGUGAAUGUCAAUUUGUGAUCACUAUAAGCAACUGUAAGAUGGAGCAGUGCAAUAAUGAAUGCUCUACAAAAGAUAGAUAUUCUAUCGGAAGAUGCGAUAACAACUCCACCUGUAUAUGCAAAUAUCGUUGUAAAAAUCCCCCACUAUAGUUCAUUAUGCUAAUAUGAAGUCCCAAACAAGAAAUAAAAAUAAUAUGGUAAACUAUGUUUAUGUAGUUCGCUGAACUUAGCAAUUCAAAUGUGCUUUGUUAUAAUCAACUCUACAUAAAAUAUAUUAGGUGGUUGAAAUAAUUUAGAUACUUCACUCUUGAAAGGUCCAUUAAAUUAUUGAUCAUGUAUUAAUUGAUAUGACUAUAUCAUCAAUUUUAAAAUACCAGUGCAUCAUAAUUUGAGAUUUGGUUAUUUCUUUUGUAAUAUAGUAUCUUUCUUUAGUACAUGUACAUGUAAAAAAAUCAUUAAUAUCUUCAAAGGCAUUGAUAGACACAUAUUCAAAUAAGCUUUGGCCUGCUACGAUUGCAAAUUGUACAUCUUCUUGCAUUAUGUUACACAAGAAGUACUACAUUUGUCACAUUGAAUAUCCAAAUACACAAUUUAUAAUGUAAAUAUCCAUUGUGGAUAAUUUUCUUGGCUACCCAUUGAGUUUAUUUAAUUAUCAUCUCGAGUUAUAUUUAUCAAAAUUAAUUGAAGAAAAAUUGGCUAAAGCCUAAAAAGGAUAAAAAGAAUUUAGCCGAAGUUUGAAAGCCAGAAAAUGAUAAAGCUAACAUGUUUGACGAAAUUGGUGGAAAAGAUAUAUAGUUGAAGGCUGAAAAGCUAGUUAAAAGUUAAAAAAAUAUGAGCAGAAUGUUAAAGGCCAAAUGCUGAUAAGCUAACAUCUUAAAAAAGAAAAUUAUAAGAAGAUGAAAAAUAUCUUCCAUAAAAAUAUUCUCUAACCAAGACGAUUACAUGCAACUUAUUCCUAGUUAAAUAAAAUCGUUGACAUACUUAUAAUAUUUUGUUAUGUUUUACCAAACACAUUUGAAGUGGCUACAUUUGCUUCCAAACCCUAAAAACGUGGUCUCUCUUUUUACUAUCCACUUAUCAUUCUUAGUAUUUUUUUCUAUAUGUUGUAUAUACAUUUAUAAUUAAUUUUUUAUAAUAUGAGUUACGAUUAUAAUUAUUAUCAUGAUCAUUAUUUUUGGAUGUUAUGGAGUUAAAAUGAGAAGAACAAUUAAAAUGAGGGAACAAAAGAGAAAAAUAGAUUAAAAAAAAUGUUUAUAAGAGCAAAUUUAAGCUAUGGAUUUACACCAAAAAAAAAAAAGAAAUUCGGAUAGUGGAUUGAUAUUUUGUUGGUUUUAGAUGAUAGAGUUAUACUAUCGUCAUUCACAAACUGAUUAUUGAUUAACUCAUUAUUGCAAAGAAGAACAUGUCGAAUGUGUUGUUCAUGCACCUCCAAUGAUAUUCCAAUUCUAGAAUGUGAAAUCACACCUUACUAAAUUUUGUGAAUAAUUUCACUUUUGGAUAGUUUGUGAUUAAACUUAUUUUUGUGAAUAAUCGCACCUUAUUUCAAUUGAUUUUUAUGUAUUUAACUAAUUUGAAUUUUUUGCCUAUUCCCUAAUAGCCAUCAAGUUGCUGCCACAUAUCACUUAUAGAAAGUAAAAUGACUUUUUAGAUAUAUAUAUUUUAUUUAUAUUCAAUUAAAUAAUAAUUAAGUUAUUUAUUUUAGUUUUUUAAUAACAAUAAUAAGUAUGUUUCAAAUAAGUAAUAAAUUAAUUUAUUAAAUUUCAUAUUCUAUGGUACACCUUAAUAAUAAUAGUCAGUAUUUAACUUUGUAUCUCUCUAUAAACACAAUAGAAAUCAAUACAUGCAUGUCUUAUCAUAUAAUUUUAUCUUCUAUUAUAAUGAAAUAAGUGAAUUGAAAAGAGAAGAAGUAAUCAACAUCUUAACUAGAAGGACAAAGAAAGAUAUGGCCUUAAUUUCUUUUAAUUGUUAGCCUCACCAAUAUUUUAUAUUUAAAGCACUAUUGUCAUUAUUUAAUUAUUUUUUGAUUAUUAUUAAAAUAAAUAUUUUACAUUCUUCUCAGAGAAUAAAUAAAUAAAUAAUUAAAAAAAUAAAAUAGCAUAUACGAAAACCUAAUUUUGUCUACCCCAAAGUGAAAAAAUAUUAAAAUUUAACUUUUAAUUGAAUAAAUUAUACCAAUUAUAUAGAGAAACACCAAUGAAAGAAAGUCAAUAAUCUCAAAUUUUUCGCAUAUUUUUCGACAACAAUCAAGCCGCUACUACAUAUCGCUUCUACACUGUGAGAUGACAUUUUAGAUAUAUAUUUUUAUUUUUAUCUAUAUGUAAUUAAAUAGUAAUUAAUUUAUUAAUUCCAGUUUUGUAAUAAUAAUAAUAAUUACUUUUAAAUAAAUAAUGAAAUAAUUUAUUAAAUUUCAUUUUUUAUAUUCUACUGUCCAUUUUAAUAAUAAUUAAUAUGUUAACUUUGUAUUUCUCUAUAAACACAACAGAAAUAAUAUAUGCAUGCAUUAUUAUAUCCAUUUACUUUUCUUUUAUAGUGAAAUACUUGAAUUGAUUAUCAUUUUAAUCUUUUUCUUGAAAGUGCAAAGGGUCAAUGAUUGCAUUAGCAAUGUUUUGCCUAUAUUUUGAUGAAGACAAGAAUUAGUUAAAGCUUGAAGAUGACUCAACAAUCAACAUGCCGAUGGCUCAAGUGGUGACUUAUUAGACUUAAGCCAUAAUUCUUUAUUAUCUUUUUAGAAGUCUAAGUUGCUUGCCAUAGAUAUUGAGUACUCUAGGUUAGGUAAACCUACGUGUGAGUCUCACAAGACUUAAUAAAGUAAUUAAUCCACUAAAAUGAGACAUCAUCUAGAAAUAUAUGAUAAGUAGGUUCAUGCAUUUGAAUACAUUGAUUUUGUGCAUUAGAGGUAUUAUAUUUGGAAAUCAUGUAUUGCAUGAGCAUAUAUCAUAUAGGUAGUUUACCAUGCAUUAACAAACUAAUUUUUACACUGUUUAAUCGAUUAAGGUAACCCGUUAAUCAAUUAACAGAAGUGCAGAGAAUUGUAGUUUCAACAGAAAACUGAAAAACUGAAAACAAUUGAAAACAUUUAUUUUCAAACAACCCGUUAAUCGAUUAAAUAGAUACUUAAUCGAUUAACCGAGACUUUAAACAAUUUUCUAUUUAAACUGAAAUCUCAGUAUGUGGCACAAGAAUCAAUACACGUUUACAUCAUUCUCUUUGCAUAUUUUCGAGUCUCUCACUGUUAUAUCUAGGAGAAAAUAUUGCAUGUUGAAUUAGUAGAAAGAUUAGAUCAUGCUAAGGCUUUAGUUUUCAUAUUCAUAUUGCAUGAUUCUUUAAAGAACUUUCUUGCAUCAUUCUUGUGUUUUCUUGAAAAGAAAAAGAGAUAAUUUUUUAUGAUUGCAUAUUUUCAGAAACCUCAUGCAUGAACAUUCAUAUUAGACUAGGACGUCUUGUGAGUUCUUGCUUACGUUUUAGGCUUUGAUCUUUAUUUUAAUAUCCGAGUAUUAAGUACUCAUUCAUAACUCAAAGCAUUGUUAUUCAAGGAUUGGGAAAAUCCUAGCUGCGGUUAGGUAAGGUGUUCUUCACAAAGACUUGGAGGUCUUGGGAUAAAGGGCGACACCUUGGCUGGGGUCGAAUCACAUAAGAAAGGUUUUCUUGGGAGGCGGUUUUGGGAAAGGUCAAACCAAAGGUGACAAAGUUUUUUGGGUUCCAAGAAAUGAGCGUUUGAGUCUUGUAAUUAGAAGCAUGUAUGUAACGUACGUUGUGUUCUAUAGUGAAGAAGGAAAAUCUCUCAAAUCAGAGGGGAGGACUAGAUGUAGUUUUGCAAUGGACAGCAAAACGAACCAAAAUAAAAUCCCUGCACAAUCUUUUCUAUCAUUUUCUCUUUUAUAUUUCAAGAUGUUUUAAUGCGAGUUUGAAACUAAUAUUUUUGCAUGCUUGUUCCUUGCUAUGUUCUUGUCAAUCUUGCAUAAAAAUAUAUGUUGUAUAUUUGUUUGUGCAUUGGUUAAUAACUAUGCAAGAAGUUGAUCUGGUCAUUCUGUUUCUGUUACUUGUUAAUCAAUUAAGACCAGUCGUUAAUCGAUUAACUGAGCAUUUUUCAGCAAGUGUGUAAAACCAGAAAAGUGGAAUUUGAGCUCUGCCACACCUAUUCAACCCCAUUCUAAGUGUAUUCUGUCACUGAUACCUAACAUUUCUUACUUUUGUAUUUAAUUAUUUAUUCUAUAAAAAUAAUGUAGAAUAGUUUUUAACAAUAAUCAAAUAAUAAUUAAACAAGGUAAAUAAUAUUUUAAAUAUAUAAUCUUGGGAAAACUAAGAAUUAAAUAAAGAUUGAAAUCAUAUCUUCAUUUGCCUUUCUAGUUAAGAUAUUAAUUACUUCUUCCCUUUUCAAUUCAUGUCCCAUUUAGCAUUCAAAUCCUUUUUAUGUAUUUAAGAUAUUUUAUUUGAAAUGGGAUUUAGAAUGACUAUAAAUAUCAUUCACUCAUUGUAACAAAUACAUUAAAACAAGAUAGUGUAACAUUUUUACAUUAUCAUUACAUCAUGUAUCAUUUAUUAUAUAUUAUUAUUGUCUCUUAAGUAAAAAUUAUACAAACAAAUGGUGAAUAAUGUAAUGAAUGUAUAAAUAUUUAUACUAACACUACAUAAUUAUUACACUAUUAAAACAAAUCUUUGAGAGAUAUUUAAGGACCAACUUUAGGCUAGAAAAUGAAAAUAUCUUAUAUUAUCUCCCAUAUUAUCAAAUUUUCCAAUUGAAAAGCAUGUUUCCUUUUGAGCUUUCAAUUUUUUUUUAUGUAAGGCGUUUUUUUAAAAAGGGAAAUACACAAUGUCAUUAAAACCAGACCGGUCAUCAAACCGGUGAGGGUACUGGUUUAGUGGUUUAGUGGUUCAAUUAGUGAUUCAGUAAUUAAACUGUAUGAGAUUAAACUGGUUAAACUGGACAUACAUGCUUAUAUAUAUGUGUAAACCUGUAACAAAAAUUAUCUAAUAUGUAGAUACUCAAAUUUAUAAUUCAUAUUUAUAGUCAAAAAAAGAAUUCUCAUAAACAAACAACUUCAAUAAAUCCAAAAUCUAAAUUACAAAUACAAAUAGUAAUCCACAAGUACAAGUUCAUAACUCAGCCCACAAAACAUAUUAUAUAUUUAAAACUUUAACACCAAAGAAUCAAAGUUGUUUCAUAUUGAGGUUCUAUUUCUUCACCAUUUAAGUCCAAAGCUUGACUAAUGUUGUCUUCAACUAGGUUCACAUUGCAUAAUCAUCAUCUUCUAAAUUUAAUUUAUCUACAACAAUAUCAUUUUUUCAUACAUCAAUUUUCGUACAAGUUAACAAUAAAAUAAAUUAGUUAUUAGAACCAAAACUGAUAAUGCAAUAAAAAAUAUUACAUGUAUGAAAAAAAAUAAUAAAAAAAAUUAGUUAUUAGUUGUGCAUCAUCAUUAUCUUCUAAUUCUAUGUGGUAUGUGCUAUGUGGGGUUAUUUAAAAUUACAUGUAUGAACCGGCCAGUUCAAUCAAAUUUCGGUCGGUUCACGGUUUUGACACGGUUCACCGAUUUUUCACCGGUUUACACCGGUUUUAAUAACAUUGGAAAUACAUCCACUUUAAAUACCACUCACUCCUUCUAACAAGCACAUUGAAACAAAUAUCGGAGACAAAUUGACGCUGAAAAAUGAAAACAUCUUAUAUUAUCUCCCUUAUUCUCGUAUCGCUUAUUUUCUUAGGUACUAAACAUCUUCCUUUUCAACUUUGCUAUUUUCAUUCACUAUUUCAACAUCACAUAUUCUUCUCUCUACAAAAAUAUAUUAGAAUAUAAUCAACAUGUUAACUCUCUCUUUAGUAAUCACAAUAUAAACAAUAUGUUAACUUUGUAAUUCUUUAGAAACACAAUAGAAUCAAUACAUACAUGCAUUAUCAUCCAUUUAUUUCUUUAUUAUACUGAAAUUUGAUUGAUCAUAACCAAAUUUUGCAAUGGCAGCAGGUUUAGACUCUGAUUUUGUGCAAGGCCAACGUAUAUGUGAGCAAGAGAUUAUUACUACAAGCACAUGUGAGGGUCAGCAAUGCACUAAUGAAUGCUUUGCAAAAUAUCAAAGUGAUGCUACAGGAAAAUGCUUGGAUAACUUCACCUGUCUCUGCACAUAUCAUUGUGAAAGACCCCCACAAUAGUUCAUUAUUCUAAUAUUGUAUCCCAAAUAUUAACCUAGUUUGUGACCAGCAACAUCAAAUAUAUGAAUAAAAAAUAAUGAGUGGUGGUAUUUGGCAAAAGAAUGAUCAUGGGAGUUUUAUGAAAGUUAUUUUUUUAUUAUAUCACCUAACAAGUCCGAGCCAAUAAAUAAAAAUAAUUUGGUAAACUAUGUUUACUUAGUUCGUUGAACUUAGGAAUUCAAAUAUGCUUUGUGUAUAAUCAACUCUACAUAAAAUAUAUUAGGUGUAUGUCUUAAUGGGUUGAAAUAAUUUAGAUACUUCACUCUUGAAAGGUCCAUUAAAUUAUUGAUCAUGUAUUAAUUGAUAUGAUGAUAUCAUAAAUUUUAAAAUACCAGUGCAUCAUAAUUUGAGAUUUGGUUAUUUUUUAUACAUAUUAUCUUUUUUUAGUUCAUGUAAAAAAGAUCAUUAAUAUCAUUGAUAUACACAUAUUUCAAAUAAGCUUCGGCCCGCUACGAUUGCAAAUUGUACAUUUUUGUGAACAUCCAGUUUUGUUGGUCCAAAAAGAAAUAUACUUCUUUAAAAAAUUGAUUUUGACAAAAAAAUAUGUGAACCUUUGGAGUUUGUCUCUCAUAAAAGUCAAAUAAGUUAAAGAUUGGGAUCAGAAAAUUAGUAAAUCAAGUUAAAAAGUUUCAUAUCAUUUUGAUUUUGUUGCCCAAAUCUCAUUGAUUUAAAAAAUUAAAUCUUUAGAGAUUUGACCAUCAAAUAAAUUAAAGUUACAAUUUGACAUAAGCAGAUAAAAAAAGUAUUUUUUUUAUUUUUAAAGAUCGUUUUUGCCUAAUGCAAUAAUCCUAAGAUGAUCUGCAAUCGCUAAAAUAUUUUAUCUAAAAAUGAGAUUUCCACUAAUUUUAUUUUUGGGUCAAACAUUGACUUUACUCGCUUGGGGGAUUACAAUAAAUUUUUUGGUGUUAUAAAAAUUAUUAAUCAUAAAAAGGUACUUUUCUAUGUCGAAAAUCCAAAAAACACUUAAUUCGAUAUAUUUAUUUUUUAUUUUUAUUAGAGGAUAUAAAUUAUUUCAAGCCUACGAGAAAAGUAUCUUAUAAUCUAGAGGAUUAUAAGAAAUAAGUUAUUUCAAGAUCCACUCAUAUCAGAGUGUGUAAUCUCGUGGCUUCCAUAAAAAUAUUCUCUAACCAAAAUAAUUACAACCCAUUUUCAGCCAAAUAAAAUUGUUGAUAUACUUAUAAUCUUUUGUUAUGUCUUAUUUUUUAGGGUUUGUAAGAAAAUGUAACCACUUCGAACAUGUUUAAUAAGACAUAACAAAAGAUUAUAAGUAUAUCAACAAUUUUAUUUGGCUGAAAAUGGGUUGUAAUUAUUUUGGUUAGAGAAUAUUUUUAUGGAAGCCACGAGAUUACAUACUCUGAUAUGAGUGGAUUUUGAAAUAACUUAUUUCUUGUAAUCCUCUAGAUUAUAAGAUACUUUUCCGGUAGGCUUGAAAUAAUUUAUUUCAUGUUCGAAGUGAUUACAUUUGCUUACAAACCCUAAAAAAAUAUGCUCUACCUUUUUUCCUAUUCACUUCUCGGGACGGUCUUAGAUAUCUUUAGAUUAACAAAUGGUUUGUAGUUUGUACCAUGAUCAUUCGUAGUAUUUUUUGCUUUUUAUUGUAUGCACAUUAAUAAUUUUUUUUAUAAUAACAAUUAUGAUUAUAAUUAUUAUCAUUAUUUUUGGAUGUUAUGGAAUUAAAAUGAGACUAACAAUUAAAAGGAGGGAUCAAAAGAGCAAAAUAGAUAAAAUUGUUUAGAAGAACAAAUUUAAGGUAUAAAUUUACACCAAAAAAACAAAUUCACAAAGAAGAGAAUCGUGAAACCCAACCAAGCAAUAAAAAAAUGGAAAAAUUACGGAGAUAGUGUAGUUUGACUACACUAUCCCACAUUUGGGGUAUGUUUCUGAUUAAUUACGGGUUUAAGGUAUUUUAUGAAACUCGUGGAUGUCAUCCACGAGUUUGGCAAAGUUGUGGACCAGAGCCACGAUUUCACUGGAAAGUCAUGGAUACCAUCCACGAUUUCCAUUUAUUAUUCUCUCUCCUCACUGAAAUCGUGGAUAGGGUACACGACUUCCAAUGUCGUGUACCCGGUACACGAGAUUGCAUGGGUUAUUUCGAAUUGCACUCAUUUACGAAAUGUUUUAGUUUUUUUUUGUUAAUUUUUAAAAAUAAUGUAUUUGAAUAUGGUAAUUUUAGUUAAAUGAUUAUUUUAGUAUGGUAAUUGAAUAUGUUAAAUGAUUAAUUUAAUAACAAAUUUGGAAUUGGAAUAGUUUGUAAUUUAAAAUUAAUGUAAUAACAAAAAUGGAAUUGGAAAAAGAAGAAAAUUUCAUAAAUUGUAGUAUCAAUUUCAAAAACAUUUAAUUAGCGGGAAAAAAAAUCCUAAUGGCGUCUAUGAGAUGAUGUUCCACAUCCAGGUGCCUUUCUCCUUCGAGGUGGUUGGACUCUUAGUUGUUGUUGUUGUUGCGAUUGAUUUUGUCUUCCACCUCUAACCAGUUGUGACUGCUCCUCAUCUUUGUCUUCACUAUCGUCAUCAUCUUCAUCGUCAUCGUUUGUUUGGGAAGGCAUUGUCGGCUGAUAAUAUUGUUGAGAGUUGAAUGCCGAGAAUGGNNNNNNNNNNNNNNNNNNNNNNNNNNNNNNNNNNNNNNNNNNNNNNNNNNNNNNNNNNNNNNNNNNNNNNNNNNNNNNNNNNNNNNNNNNNNNNNNNNNNCUCAUAAUGUUGUUGAUAGUCAGGUGCAAAAGGCAUUUGGAACUGUUGUGGAGGAGGAGCUUGAGAAGUAGUUGAGGAGAAGGUGGUUGGAAUUAGUUGAGCAAAUGCUUCCAUCAUCUCAUUACAGUUUUGAUAGACGUCAUUCAAUGACUGCAACGGAUUUGGAAACACAUUUGUAGGAGCACACCUAUCCUGAAUCAUUUUGAUAAAAUUGCACUGAAUAAAUGGAAAAAUUUAAAUUGUUAGAAUAUGUCAACACAAAAUAAAAUAGAAUAUAAUAAAAUAUGUCAACACAAAAUAAAAUAAAAUAUAAUUAGAAAUGUUUUUGUUAUUACUGAUCCGACCGAAUAUGCUCCAUUUGGAGAUAUGUAUUUCCUUGUCCUUUGUAAGUGCCAUUGCAUAUACUGCGAGUAAUGUAUUUCCUUGUCCUUUCUAGGAUGGGUUGUUGUAGACCAAACUGCCUCAUCACCCGAUCAGCAGCAUGCCACUCAACAAGUGCAAAGCAGAUGAGUGGUACACGUGCUCUGACUACAUCACGUAUGGGGCCCACAUAGGUAAUGUUCCUAUAUGGGGUCCACACAAACUAAUAUAUAAACAAAGUUAGUAAUUAAUGAAUACAAGAAUAGUUAGAAAUAAUAGUAAAUAUAUUAAAAAUUAGAAUUUACAGAAAUUACCUGAUCAAUGCAUAAGCGACCCAACAUUGACCGUAUUAUGUUCGUUGCAUGACCAGCGAUGUUGGUGGUGAUUAGAUGUUGUGCCCACCUAAAAUGUAAUGUUAUUGGUAGUUAUUAUUAUAUGAAUAAUUUCAAACAAAAACUAUUGUAAUUUGAAGAAUUUUAGUAAUAAAAUCAUGGAAAAAAUAUACCUUUGGACUAAAGGGAAAGUUUGUGAGUCAUUGUUGUAUACUCUUGGAGCUAGCAUUGUGAUGCGGUCAUAUGUCCAUGACUGUAGUAAAUGCAAGCAUCCACCGAUUUCAAUUUGAUGACUUAUGAGUGCUGCACGACAUAUUCCACGAUAUAGACACGCCAAUACAGCUGAACUCCAACUAUAUUGGAAUGUCUGUGACAAGUCCUCCAACAAUGGGAGAUACAUCAGGUGGACUCGUGAUCUUGAUGUAUCUGGCAUGAGGAAGCCUCCAAACAUGCGUAAAAUAAACGCUCUUGCGUGUUGCUCAAUAACAACAUCAUCAGCAUGUGGUGGAAGAACCACAAAAGUUGAGUCGAGCCAACUCAUUUGGAUUCUUUGACCCAUAAUUUGUUUGUCAGUUGGGAUUGCACCCAACAAGUUGUGACAAAUCAUUUCCCAAUUACCACUUGUAAUGCCAGUAACAGGAGCUCCAUUUAUUGGCAACCCAAGUUGGUAUGCGACAUCUUCAAGAGUUACUGUGCACUCGCCAACAGGUAAAUGGAAGGUGUGAGUCUCCGGCCUCCAUCUCUCAACUAAUGCCGUAAUUAGGUGGUUGUUGAUUUCGAUUGUACGGAUAUCAAGAAUAUGCCCAAAUGUCGUGUUACGAAUAACUUCUAACACCGGUGCAGAAGGUAAAUUUUGCCAAAAGUUAUACCUUGCUCGAAAAGUCACUUCUCCAUCAUUCCAAAUGUUGGUGGAUACAUGAUUUUUUUGAAUGGUGAGAAGGGACGGGUUAAUUGGACUUGGACCAAUAUGUUCCAUUUUUUUGAUAACAAUUAUCGGGAAAUGAGAGAAAGUAGGAUUUUAGAAAGUAAGAUUUCGGAUGGCUUGGUGUGACAAUGAAGGCGCUGGAUGGUUCAAUAUAUAGGGUUGGAAUUCGUGGAUGGGGUCCACGACUUCACCAAACUCAUGGAUGGGGUCCACGAGUUCCUACCUGGCAAUGGUACUUGUGCCCUAGCCACACAUGAGAUUCCCUGGCUAAACCUACCCUGGGCCAAACUCGUGGGUGUAGUCCACGAUUUCCAUUGAAGUCGUGGCUGACAUCCACGACUCUCUUUUAAUUUCGUACACAGAACUCGUGGAUACCAUCCACGACUUUCAUUGAAUAUUUUGAUUUUCCGUUCUUUUUUUGAAUUCAUAUUUAUUGAUGUAUUUAUGUGUUGUGUUUUUUUUUUAAUUUGAAUUUGAAUUUGGUACUUCCGAAUUUUUAUGAUUUUUGAAUUUUGAAAUUUGUUAGAAUUUUCGAAUAUGUAUGUUUUUUGAAAUUGAAUUUUCAUAUUUGAAUUUUAAAUUGAUGUGUUACACCACUAAAUUUGAAUAUAUAUGUAUUAAAUUGAAUAUAUAUGUAUUACACCACUAUGUCACGAUUGUAUUAAAAUUGAUACUAACAUAGCUUUAUACCUCUCCACACUUCCAUCAGCUUUGUAUCUGGUCUUAAAGACCCAUUUACAACCUAAUGGAGACUUAUCAUUAGGUAAAUCUGUGAUUAUCCAUGUGUCAUUUUGCUGUAAAGCAGCCAACUCUGUUUUGAUAGCAUCCUCCCAUGGAGGUGAUUUUAUGGCUUGAGCAUAGGUUUUUGGUUCUAUAUGUGUACUAAUGGUUAGGACCUUUGACUUAUAGGAAGAUGUCAAGUUCUCAUAAUUCAGGUAAUAGGAUAGAGGAUACUUAGAGUUGGAGUAUGGAAUGUCAGCUUUGUAAAGCAUGGCACAAUGGCAGUCCUGCAAGUAGGUUAGGGGCUUAGUUAUCCUUCUAGUCCUUCUGAUGUUAGAAGAAUCAGAAGGUACAUCCUCGGUUAAAGGAGGAGUGGAAGAUUUUUUUUCCAAAUCAUCAUUCAUAAUGGUAUUAUAAUGAUCUUGAGGUAUGCAACGGUUUUUGUCUUUCUGUUGAACAAAACUGGGUAAGGCAUCUUCAUAGAUGAUGGGGUCUUGAGGGGUAAUGUUCUCUGUAUGCUCAUCAGAGUUGAUAUAUGAACAAUUAGGUUUGUAUGGUAAGAUAUUCUCAUAGAAAAUUACACUUAUACUAAUGCUAACAGACUUAUUGACAAGGUUGAGAGUUAUAAACCUUUGUCUCCUUCCUUAUAGCAUAGGAACAAACAUUUGCAGGCUCUAGGAUCAAACUUAGAUCUUUGGUGAUUUUGUGUGCUAACAUAGCAUAAAGAUCCAAAAACUUUUAGGUUUUCUAACUUAGGCUUUUUAUUAAACAGGACCUCAAAGAGGCUUUUCUUGUCUAAUGUAGGGUAGGCAAGAUAUUGAUUAUAUAUGCAGCAUGCCUUACUGCAUAAGACCAAUAGACUUUAGGCAAUUUUCUUUGAAUUAGUAGAGGCCUUGCUACAUUCAAAAGAUGUUGAUGAUUUCUCACCAUAAUCCCAUUUUGUUGGGGUGUGUAAGUGUAAGAGGUUUGAUGCAGAAAAAAAGAUUUGAUGAGGAACUCUAGCCCAUUGUCACUUCUUACAACCCUAACUUUGGCAGAGAAUUGAGUUUCUACCACGGGGAUGAAGUUUUGCAGGGAUUUGGAUGUUUCACUUUUAUUAUUCAUAAAUAAGACCCAAAUAAACCUACUAUAAUCAUCUACUAUAGUCAAGAAGUAUUUGUGUCCAUGGAUAGAAGAUAUAGAAAAGGGUCCCUAUAUAUCUACAUGUAUUAAAUCAAAAUUUCCUAAUGAAUCAGAAUUACUUAAAGGAAAGGGCAAUUUCUUUCGCUUCAAAAAAUGACAAAUAUCACAUAUAUGUUUGUUAUUAAUGGUGACAAAGGGGAAAUUGUUUUUCAUCAUAUCCAUGCAAGAAAAAGAAGGGUGCCCUAAUCUAUAGUGCCAAAGAUUGUGAUUAUUAGUAGUAGAAAAAUUUAUUUGAUGUUCUGAUCUAAAGGCUUUCAAGAGAUAUAGUCCAUUGGUCAUUCUAGCUGAACCAAUCUUCUUCAAAUACCUCUUCUCCUGAAUUUGGCAGUGAUGAGCAUCGAAAGACAUAAUACAGGAUGAGUUGGUAGUUAACUUAGAUAUUGAGAUCAAGUUAUAGGACAAGGUUGGUAAAUAUAAGACAUCAUGUAUAAUAAGGCAGGGAAAAAUAGGAACAGUUCCUGAAAUCUCUGCCAUGAUGUUAUCACCAUUAGGCAAUCUUAUCCUGAUGGACUUGAUUUGUCUAUAUGCAGAGAAAUUGGAUAGACUAGAACUUAUGUGGUCGGUGGCACCACUGUCUAGUAUCCAAGGAAUGAAAUUCAUAUUAAGAUUACAUGUAGUUUCCUCAUGACGUGCAGUUGAUGUUGCUGAAAGGACAAUACUGAUUUUGGUGGAUCCAUGAUCAGUCUCCUUAGGACCAUUCCCUUCCUUAGCAUGCUGACCAAACCUUGGCACUGCUUCUUAUUUAAAACAAAUAUAGUCUCAUCUUGUUGUGUCUGAUGGGUCGUUGCCUUCUUAGAUUGAUUACCUACUUCACUUGCCAUUGUAUUGAUUCUUUCUUCGCUAGCUGAGUGAAGUUUGUAACAAGUUUCUGUUGUGUGUCCACUCCUUUUGCAGUGAGUGCAAAAUUUUCCUGAACUUGAAUUAUUGGUCCAAGAUCCUUUAGUUAUACCACUUGUGUUGCCUAUGAGAUUUGUAGAGGUGACUCUACCUUGGUUCUUGUUACAGAAACCUCCUCUUUUCAAAUUAUUGGAAACAACCAUAACCUUUGUAUCUAAAUCUUGUCCAUAUAUUUGCCUUUCUUGUUGUAUGACAAGGGAAAAUACUCUACUCAUGUUUGGCAGGGGCUCAACCAACAUAAUCUAUGAUCUUACACCAAAAUAUACAUCAUUCAAUCCUUUUAAAACCUUAUCACAUGUCCUCUAUUCUAUGGCCCCUUACAUCAUAAAGGGCACCACAUUAGCAUUCAGCGUCAAUCAAAUUACCACUUGAACACCUGACCUCACAUUUACACUUAGGCAUAGGUCGAAAGUUAUCCAAUUCAUCCCAAAGAAUCUUUAAUUUAGUGAAAUAAUCAGUCAAAAAAAGAUCCCAUUGCCUAAAAUUAGCAAUGGAUUCUUGUAAAUCAACAAUUCUGAAAAGAUUACAUUGGGAGAAUCUUUCUCUCAAUUCGUCUCAUAUCUCAUAAGCUUUGUCUAUCCAUAAUAUGCUUUAUGCUAUCGAAGGAGUGACAGAUUUAGUAAUCCAAGAGAUUACUAUAUUAUUGGCCCUCUACCAAGCCUUGAAUGUAGGAUCUGUCUUUGAUGGCAUUUGAAUUGUGCCAUCCAUGAAUUCCAACUUUUGCUUUGUUAUGAAAUUCAUCUCCAUGGCUUACUCCGUUGAUAGUAAUUCUCACCAUUUAGAGGUGGUGAGACCAGAACACUUGCUGGGUUUUCAGAUUGGUGAUAAAGAAUCUUGUGAAGGAUUAAUAGUGAUAGUAUUAUUUUAGGAUGAGGAGAGAUCAGAAGUCGAAGAAGAAGAAGAGGAAGACAAGAAAUAAUGAAAAAGGGAAUUUUAUUAUUGAGUAAUGAUAGCUUUCUUAACUGACUUGAUUAAUUAGAAAUGAAAAGGGGACAACAUAUAAAUAGCUAAUGAAUAACAACUAUAACAAACUAGUUGUUAUUCUUCCAAUUGAACACGUGACAAAUAAGAGAAAAUACACAUGUGCAUAUUGUUUGCAAUACAAGUUAAUUGUUUCUACGCUAGGGGACCAAGUGCUUUUGGCCUUGAUUUAGUGUCCUUGACUGACUUAUGAAGCAUUGAUGUAGUGGAUUCAUUCUGCAUUGAUGUAGUGGAUUCAUUAUGCUCGAGAUUGGCAUGAAUUGAGUGGCCUAACAAGCAAGCAGCCUUGUCUGCAUAUUCAAAGGGUUGGUCGUGAUCUCUUAUACAGCCAAAACCAAUCUCGAGGCACUAUUGUCUUGGCUUGGCCUAGCAUCAUCCUGGUCCCUUGGUGCAUCUAAUUGACCAGGCUUUCUAAUGUAGGAAUCUUCAUUAAUGUGUUGUUUGUCAUCAAUUAAUUUUGAUAAAAAUGGAAAGUGUGGAUGAUGAAUAAAUUUAAAAACCAAUGGCAUGGUUGAAGAAGCAAAAGAAGAAGAAAGAAUAUAUAUGUGUGUAAAGGGAUCUGUAGCCUAACUUUACCCUUGUGAAUUUUGUUAGGACUAUAGGUCAACCCCUAAUUUAUCCAAUGCAACCUAUAAAAAAAGAAAUAAUCUUCUAUUAAAGAAGUAAGAAUGCUUUGGUUUGUUGUGGUUUGGUCCUUUUGGCUGUCGCGUAAUGAUGUUAUUUUUUAAGGGAAGAAUAUGAGUUUAAGUGUGACUGUCGAUUUGAUAAAAUUAAAGUCUUGGUUCUCAGAAAAUACGAUGUCUCGGUUGUGUCCUAUCUUAAUUGGUGCACGGAUCCUAGGUCGUGCAUUUUUGUUGUUUGUAGUUCUAUUUUUGUUUGACUCUUUUGUAUUAGGUUAGCACUUUUUGUGCUUCUUUAAUACAUGUUCUCUUUGCUUAUAAAAAAAAGAUUUCUAAAAAGACCAAAAGGUCAAGAAUUUGAUUCCUGAGAAUUACAUUUGUUGAGAGAGACAACUCUAUACAUUCUUAAAGUCAUUAGUUCCUUACCCAAAAGAUAGAGAUACUCUUUGAAAUAUCCAAAAUCAUGCAUUCAUUUAUAUGACUAUAUCAUCAAUUUUGGAAUACAUUGCAUCAUAAUUUUGAGACUUGUUUUUUUAGUUAUAUAUUAUUUUUUAAGAAAAAUAUGUAUAUACUGAUAGUGUAAAAGUUUUUUAAUACUAUUAUUGCAUCAUUUAACAUUUAUUUUCAAUUAUUUUUUACUUUUUAAUAAAAUUAAUACAAAUGAAUGAUAGAUAAUACAUUAACUGUUUAUAAAUCUUUACGAUACAGUGUAUAAAUAUUACACUAAUCUUUUAUUUUAUACAUUUACAUGUAAAAAGAAUGGUUAAUAUGCAAAUACGCUUGGGGCCCCUAAAUAAUUCAUGAGUGUAAUUGCAAAUUCCUUUCCAUGAUACAUCUUCUUGCAUCAUGUUACACAAGGAGUACUACAUUUGUCACACGGAAUUCAAAUGCACCAUUUAUAUAGUAAAUAUCCGUUGUGGAUAACUUUCUUGGGUAUCAUUGAGUUUAGUUUCAUUUCAUAUCAGGUAGGGGUGUCAAUAUGGGCAUUGCCUGCGGGCCAGCCCGCAUUGCCCGCAAAAAAAUGCGGACAGGGCAUGGUAUUUUUGUCUGUUAGCUCAUAUUGUCUAGCCCGUUUGCCUGCUUUAUUAACGAGCAGUUUAAACGGGCUCCGCGGGCAUUACAUUCUACACUUUAAAAUUUUAAUCCAUGACUUUAUUACUGCUUGGUUAUUUUAUAAUUAUUAUUGCAGACUUGUUAGAGAGAAUUAUUAUCUAAUAAGGUUAGAGAGACAUGUUUUGAAUUAUUAUUAAACUUUUAAUUAUUAUGUAAUGUGGUUAUGUAAAAUUUAUUGAUUUACUGCCUAAUGUACUUGAUAACUUAGCAUUCACCAUUGUUGCUUUUUUAAUGUAAUAAGGAAAAUGCCAGCGGGCCGCUCGUUAGCCCGUUAGCUCGUUUUAAAACGAGCAAGACAUGACUUUUUGUCCGUUAACCAAUUGCGGGCAUGCCCGACCCGCUUAAAUUAUUGCAGGCAUUUGCAGGCACGGGCUAAACGGGUUGGGCGGCCCGUUUUGACACCCCUAAUCCCAUGUUUGGCAAAAAUAAUUGGGGGAAAAACAUUUAGCCGAAAUGACGGAAGACAUAUAAUGCUUACGUGUUUGACAAAAUUGGUUAAAAAAAAUCAGUCAAUGUUAAAGGCUAAAUGUUGAUAAAUUGAUAUCUUUUCUUUGAUAUUACUAAAUGUAUUCUUUCACAUUUUUAUAAGAAACUAAUCUAUUUUGUGUUUUGUGGUUAUCUUUUCCCAAUAAGUAGUGUUCUUAGAAAUCGAAUAUUUGACAUUUUAAUCAUCUGACAUCUUUGAUAAAACUAGUUAAUAAAUUAAUUGAAAAUGAUAAGAAGAUGAAAAAUAUCUUAUAACAUAUUGAAUUAUCAUACAUAAGUUAUUUCAAUGUCCUCUCAUAUUAUAAUUUUUAAUCUUAUGGCUUAUGUUAAAAUAUUCUCUAACCAAAACAAUUAUCUAGUCAUUUUGGUCAAAUAAGAAUGAUGCUUAACUUAUAAUUAUCAAAUAUAUCCAAACUGUCCAUAUUUGAGUUCAAACCCUAAAAAUAUGGUGUAAUCUUAUGCUAUCAUGCCUCUAUUAGACAUUUUUAACUAUAAAAUUUAGAUUAACAAAUGGUAUUUUAUAGUAAACAUUAACAAAUGGUGUAUCAUCAUCAUUUUUAAUAUUCUUUUUUUGUAUAUACAUGAAUGAUUAUUAUUUUUAAUUAAAAUAAUAAAUGCAAUUAUAAAAUAAUGACAGUUAUAAUUAUGGUCAUUGUAUGACAUGGAAUUAAAAUGAGACUUAAGAAAUAAAAAUAGAAAAAUUGAUUAAAAAAAUUUAGAAUACAUUUAACCUAUGAAUUUACAAAAAAAAAAAGAAGAAGUAAAUAUCCAUCUUAUUCAUUACAAAUUUUCCUGUAUAUCAAUCUAAUCUAUAGGAAAGCAAAAAUCUAAAGUUGUAACUAAAUUGUAUCAAAUAAUAUAUGAUAAAGACUAAAAUAUCCCUAUAAUAAGUCAUAAUAAAUAAUUAAUAGGAAAAAUGAUUAAUUUGAUCAUUAUUCAAUAUUUUUAAAUCAAUUUAAAAUUUUCAUUUUUCAAAUGAAAUUGGCAGAUUCAAAUUUUUUUGAAAUAAGAAAAUGAAUCUACCCUAAAAAAUGAAAUAGAAGGAAGAAAGGGCCUUGAAACCCAACCAAACAAAACAUCACAAAAAUUGGUCUCUUAUAUCAUAUAUCAUCGUACUUUGCCUACAAAAACCAUAACCAAGUGAAAUUUGUUGUUCCCCCCACUCAUCUUUUCUACUAAACUAAAACCCUAAUAAUCUUCUCUUCUCUUCAUUCUUCAAAUCCCAUUCCAAUUUCAACCAAAUAAUAGAAGAUCCAAUCCAUGUUGUUGGUGAUUGAUGAUUGAUGAUAGUGUUACAGUGUUGUGACUCAUUCACUCAUUAAUUGACUAACUCACUUUUUCAAACAAUAACAUGUUAAGCGUUCUACGUGUUCAUCUUCCUUCUGAUAUUCCAAUUAUUGGAUGUGAACUCACUCCUUAUGUUCUUCUUCGCCGUUCUGAUAACAACUAUACUACCGAUGAUGUUCCAGAAACUGCUCCGUUAGAAGGACAUUUUCUAAGCUAUAAGUGGUUAGUUCUUUUUCCCUUCUUUUUUUUAAUUUUGAUGAAGAUGAUUGAUACAUGUGGUAGAAUGUUAUUAUAGCGCAUAUGAUUUAUUUUAUGUUUGGUGCAUUUUAUAUGGAGAAUAGAAGUGGUGUGUAGUUGUGAGGUGUAGGAUGUUUAGGUUUUGCGAUCGGCGUGAUUUUUGGAUAAACGGUUUAGUCGAGUGUUUAGCGAAUAUGAUUUUUUGAACUCAACCCGUUUGAAUGUUUGAUAUUGAAGUUGGUUACCUUUUACUAAUUUCAGUGAAGAAUUUCACAUUUGGGUAGUGUUUAAUUGUCGUGUUGGAACGGGAUAUAAUGUGAUAUGUAAGUUCUAGGGAAUUUAGAUUGAUUGCUGUGAAAUUUGGAAUUCGUAAGAAUUAUUUGAGAUUAUUCAUACCAUAAAGUUGGAUGUACUUUGCUAUUGUUUUUAUGGUGCCAUAAAGUUGAUUGCUGAAAUAAUGGUGAAAAUUUUGAUUAUAUUAUAUACCAAAAUGAUUCCAAAUACUGCCUUUAUGUGCGGUUUUUCUGUUGAGUUAAUAUUAUAAUUGAACGAUUUGGAUUUAUUUUUGACACUAUCAUUUGGUUGUCUUUUUGGCAGGUAUCGCGUACAAAGUGAUAAAAAGGUUGCUAUAUGUAGUAUACAUCCAUCCGAGCUGGCUACACUACAGUGCAUAGGUUGUGUUAAGGCCAAAAUACCUGUUGCCAAAAGUUACCAUUGCACUCCAAAGUGUUUUUCAGAUGCAUGGCAGCAUCAUCGCGUCUUACAUGAUCGUGCUGCAAGUGCAGUUAAUGAAAAUGGAAAUGAGGAGGAGGAGUUGUUUGGCAGAUUUAAUAAUUCUGGGUCUGGAUCAAUCGCUAGCGUAUCUGCCACUAUGUCAAGUGCUAGUUUGACAAAUGGGUCCGCACCUAUGUAUCCAGCAGCUGUUACGCAUCGAAAUGGUGGUGAAACUUGGUUUGAAGUUGGACGAUCUAAGACAUAUACCCCAACAGCUGAUGACAUUGGUCAUGUCCUUAAGUUUGAGUGUGUUGUAGUUGAUGCCGAGACAAAACUUCCAGUGGGGUAUGCUAACACUUUACUAACUUCCCGUGUCAUUCCUGCCCCCUCGCCUAGCCCACGCCGCAUGGUACCUGUUGAUGGGAUGGGGCAUUUAGAUGCAGAUGGACGUAUAACAUCUUCAGGAACUUUUACUGUUUUAUCAUACAACAUAUUGUCUGAUGCAUGUGCCUCAAAAAAUGAUCUAUACAGUUACUGCCCCUCUUGGGCUCUCUCCUGGCCAUAUCGCAAACAAAAUUUGUUACGGGAAAUAGUUGGUUACUGUGCGGAUAUUAUCUGUCUUCAGGAGGUACAUAAGUGCUUUUGGAUAUGAUGAGAAACUUGAUUUAAUUACUGUGCUCAUCUUCAACUCUUUUUUUGUUAAGAAAUUUCUUUUGAAUGGUGUUCAAUAAAAAGUCUUCCAUUCACUGUCCUGAAAUCAUGUUUAAUUUUCAAUUGCAGUUGGUUUUAAUAAAAACAUGACCAUGGACUUGGGGGCACAAAGCAAUGCUGCCACUGGUCAAUCUAAUAUUUCUAAACUCGAAUUGCUACCAGUUGUAAAUGAUAUACUAUCUUUUCAUCUAUUGCUUAAAAAACUUUUCUUUCAUUUCCAUGCUUAUGUGGUGUAGAUUUAUGUUAGAAUCUGUUUUCUUCUCCACUGCACUAAAUCCCUUAGAAAGAUAUAACUGCUUCCUAUAUUCUAAUAACUUUCUAUUAAGCUAAUGUGCAUUCUAUUUCUCCUCAGAUUCAAAGUGACCACUAUGAGGAAUUUUUUUCCCCUGAAUUGGACAAACAUGGCUAUUAUGGUCUUUACAAGAGAAAAACAAAUGAGGUUGUUACUGUAUUUUAUUAUAAAAGAGGUUCUUAUAGUCUACUGGUUUCCAAUGGUUAUAGUUUUUUAAUAUGGCGGGUUUACAGGUAUACAAUGGCAAACCCAAUUCAAUCGACGGUUGUGCAACAUUUUUCCGCAGAGACAGAUUUUCACAUGUGAAGAAAUAUGAGGUUGGGAUUGUUUUAUACGUAUGGUAGUUCUCUUAACUUUGUACACAACUUAUAAUCAUCUCUGCUUGCAUGCAGGUUGAAUUCAAUAAGGCUGCACAGUCUUUAACAGAUGCUAUAAUUCCACCCAAUCUGCAGAAAACGGCCUUGAAUCGGCUAGUUAAGGUGGCUUAUUGCACCUAAAAAUUCUACUUCUGCUUUUUAAAAAUUAAGUUAUUUCUUAUGGAAUAGGUGCUUACCAAGUUUUCUUUAUGUUCUUAGGAUAAUGUUGCACUAAUACUGGUUCUAGAAGCCAAAGUUAACAAUCAACCUGUUGAUAGUCCAGGGAAAAGACAGCUUCUUUGUGUGGUAAGCUGUUACUUAUGUCGACAAGCAAUCAUCUUCUUUGCACUAAUGUGUGUGCCUUCAUGGUCCACGAUGUGCUUUUUAUGUUUACAUGCAUAUUUGGUAACACUUAUUUUGUAGAAAUAAUCGUUUAUUUUCGGGAGCUUUUGAUUGUAAGCUGGUAUGAAUACAGAACUAGCUAAUCCAAACAUGCUCUAUUUUGUGUAUGCCUUUUGUUUAUUUUCCCCUGUUUCCCUAAGUGUAGCUUCAGCCUUCAUUAUCUGUUCAAAAUAGGGCCUUCUCAUGAAAGGCCUUUUCUUAGUUAUCCAUUUAUACUAAUGAAUAAUGAUGGUCAUUUCCUGAUAUGGUCGAAGUUUUUCACCCUCUAAGCUGUUGUUGGUUACUAGGUUUUCAUGUUUUUCAAUGGUGAUUGUUCUGGCUUAUCAUUUUGUUGAUGGUUGUUGGUCUAGAGGAAGAGGGAGGCCAAGAAAAACCAUAUCCGAAACAAUUAGGAAAGAUUUAGAGAUCGAUGUUUUGUCAGUGAACAUGAUUAAUGAUAGAACAUCAUGACGUCAUUUGAUCCAUGUAGCCAGCCCCACCUAGUAAGAUUAAGGCUUGGUUGUUGUUGCUGCCCUAGUAUAACAACUCUUGAUAGUUCAAAUCCGAGGUGUUUCCUUUUUUCAUUAAGAAGCUCAAAAUCUCAGUUAGAACGGACCAAGCUAGAUGUGUGGUUUCAAAUUUUAUGCUUAUUUGGAUCAUUAUUUGAGGGUUUUUUAGUAGUUUAGAUCAAAGCAACUUUUUAUGCAAUACAAUAUCUAUUACUAACUCUAAUUCUGCUUGUGUAUAGGCAAAUACACAUAUAAAUGUCCCCCAGGAUUUAAAGGAUGUCAAACUCUGGCAGGUAAGACCUUUCCUUGUUCAUAUUGAACAGUGUGUUUAUCCGAAAUGUGAUUGUUAUAAAUUUUCUCCCCCUUAUGUAGGUGCAUACUCUCUUAAAAGGAUUGGAGAAAAUAGCUGCAAGUGCAGACAUUCCAAUGUUGGUUUGUGGAGACUUUAAUUCAGUUCCGGAAAGGUUUGAUUACUUCUCCUUUUGAUCUAGUUUGGAUGCUCUUGUUCUGACAGGGUUUUCUAUUAGUAUCAGUAAUUUAUUUCUGAGGCAAUUUUUACUUUUGUAGUGCACCUCAUGCACUUCUUGCAAUGGGGAAGGUAGAUCCUUCACAUCCCGAUUUAGCAGUUGAUCCGCUUAACAUAUUGCAUCCUCUCAACAGAUUGGCUCACCAAUUGCCACUGGUAAUGUUUUAAUUGAAGUGCAACACUUAAGGGAUAACUUAUUUAUUAUGUUCCUUCACGGUUUCACCUACUUUAGUUAUGUAUUUCCCCCUCAGUUUUCGUUCAUGAUUUUAAUUUAUGUGCUGUGGCCUUGUUGGUUACUUCCAAUAGGUCAGUGCAUAUUCAUCUUUUGCAAGAACUGGUGGUCUCGGAUUUGAGCAGCAUAAACGGAGACUGGACAGCAAAACGAAUGAGCCAUUAUUCACACACUUCACUAGAGAUUUUAUCGGUUCUCUGGAUUACAUAUUUUAUACAGGUGAGCUAUCUUUCAAUCAUUUGAUAAUUUAACAUCCCAGACACAUUUAUGAAGCUGUCAUUUUUGUUUCAGCGGAUUCAUUGGUUGUGGAGUCAUUACUGGAGUUAUUGGACGAGGAGAGUUUAAGGAAAGACACAGCACUCCCUUCUCCCGAAUGGUCCUCCGAUCAUAUAGCUCUCUUAGCUGAGUUUCGCUGCUGCAAAAAUAGAUAUAGGCGUUGACUCAUAAGGUACCAUCAUCUCUCCCCCUUCACUUCUCCAAUCAUUUUCGUAUAUACCAUCUUAUAUUAUGAUUGAUUUACAUUUGGUUUUAGAAGAUCAAUUUCUUGUUUAUCAAUCAUUGUAUGGAUAGGUCAAUGACUCCACAUUUUCAUCUACACACAUAGUCGAAGUCGAAGCGAGGGCUGUACCUUUUACUGCUUGACUAUGUUCCCAUCUUUGAUAUAUUUAGCUGAGCUAUACCACAUUGGAUAGGGCUUGAGUAUUUAUUUUUUGGUAUGUCUAAAUUCUUUAAUUCUUGACCGAUGACGCGGCUCUCGAUUUUUGCAGGUCAAAUGCAGAUACAGAUAAACAUAAAGGUUAAAAGAAGUCGUCGGUCGAUAGUUAUUGUCAAAUUGGUAGAUCAUGCCUUUGCCUUUUUUUCAAGGUAUCUCCAUGUGGAGGUCCUUGCAAUGAUCUGCUAUGUAUUAUGCCACCUUUUGUCUCAUAGAUAAGUUAUGAGUUAUGUUUUACUGAUUUGCCUCCGGCCCCAAUCAUUUUUAUAAAAUGAAAAUUUUCUUAGUGUUGCAAGCUACAAAUUUUAUAGAUUUCACAUUUUAGGGUCCUCCAAAUAUGAUUAUGACCCUAUAUCCAAGGUAUAUCAAACAUGCUAGCAGCGGCUUGUGACCUUGGAGGUCAUUAUUUGAAAUCUUGUAAUAGGGAUAAGACGUCAUAUAUCAUUAUCGACUUUUCAAAAAAGGUAAUACAAAUUAAUGGUGGAUGAUAAAUUGACAGUGUAUAAAUCUUUUCAGUGAUUGUACAUAGAUGUUACACUCUCUUGAAACAACCACCUUUAUUUUAACUAUAAAAGGUAAAACGUGUAAUAAAUAGUACUUCAAUUAUUAACUAUUAAGUGAUUUUCUUAUAAAAUAGGUGAAUGUAUAGGAUAACUUAUGUAGAUAUAUAUUACUCUUGCAGAAAAUAUUACAAAAUAAUAUUAACUUGAAGUUAUAUUAUUUGUGGUUACUUGGAGUAGAAAUGAGUUAAUGGGGAGAAGUUUGAGUAAAGGGUGUUGUUAGAGACUCAUGUAUGCAUUACUGCGGAGCCACAUUUAUUAUAAUCCACAAUGUUUAAGUCCACCUUAAAAAUAUAACAAAUUAAGUUUGUAUUGAAAAACUAAAUUAAACA
rnacentral:lncRNA from 1 species